rnacentral:lncRNA from 1 species
UUUUUUUUUUUUUUUUUUUGGGUAAGUUUUGUAAUGGUGAUAUAGAGUGUGACGAGUUUAAAGAAAUUGUAAGAAAAAGGGCAAUUUCAUGUGUUUUUAUCUAGAUAAGUAUGCGUGAUUUUACACCAAUCAACUUAGGAUUUCCAAAAAAGAUUGAGAUAUGACGUAUAAGAGAUGCAUGACCCGGAAAGUUUUUCAAGUUUCAAUCACUUAUAUAUUAAAAGUAUUUAAAUGUGAGAGAAAAAUGAAAACAAAAAAAAUUUGGCAUUUGAUUGUCCCAUUAUAUGUCAACUGGGAGAUUAUAAAGCCGUAAAAGGUGAUAGUUUUUGGAGCUAUAAGCAAAUGAGGCAUGAAUACUCAUAUUUGUUACCAUAAAUGAUUAAAUUAUAAGAAAAUUUAGGAGGUGUAUAUUAAUAUUAAAUUUUCUUCGUUAAAAAAAAAAAGAAAAGUUGCUAAAAAGUGGGACUACUAAGAGCUUAUACUUAAUUCAAAUAUUGUAUUCGUUACUAUUUUCCUUAUCGUCUUCACAGUUCAUCCCAAGUUUAUUUUUUUUACAAAAAUUAUAUUUAUCUUAUGUUGCUUCAUUUAUUCAAAUUAAAUUUUGAAUAUUGUUAUUACCAAAUUAUUUGAUCUCAAAAAAAUUGAAAAAAUGUUACUCCUAAGAUCUAAAGUGGUGUUUUAGAUAAAUGCUUAAGAAACAUCUAGGAUAUUUACACCUUCUAAGAAAAUUGCCCUUGUGAGAGCUCAAAAUUUACACCUAUUUGCAUAUACUUUUACUAGAAAGGUUGAGCGUGCUACUUUGCUUUUUCAUUGAUUAAUUGGAGUGUUUAAUUGAUUGCCUUAUACUUAAGUGUAUUAGAAUAUUUUAAAUUCAUGCAUUAUUCACAUUCAUGGAAAUUAACACUAAGUGAAACAAGAAACUAGUGAGGUAAUGGUAUAAAAGUAUGGAAAUAUGGGGCCAUAGCAUAAUAAACUCCUUUUUGCUUGCAUGAGACUUCACACUGGUCAUUGCCUCUUGUCAAAAAAAAAAAAAGGUCCAUGCAAGUUAUGUCAAGACAAAACCUCCCAAACACCAAUUUUAGUUUCAUUCUUGUCUUGGCCAUUUCUAAAACUGAGAGAGAGAGAGAGAGAGACCAAGAGAAAAUUUGAAGCUUUCAUCCUUCUUCAACAGUGGAACUCCAGCAAGAAACAAGUCACCACUUCAACUAGUUGAGUUAAAGGAAACAGGUGAGAGAGACCAAAAUUUUCUAGCUUUUAUUUUUGCAAGACAAGAGGUAAACUUGCUAGCCAAACAUUCCAUUUUCUCAAACACACCAAGAUGAUUGAUGCAUGUUAGUUUCUAGCCAAGAAAAUGGAAAUUUUGUGGGAAAGAAAUCUCAUUAGAAGUUGAUUUUAUUGCUGAAAAAUUUCCAGAUUUUACCGAGGGGGCCAUGAGCUCAUUUUGCAGCCUCUUAUUUCAAAAUUUUGAGGAGUUUCCACUAGGAAUUUCUGAUAUAUAUGUUAUAUUUCUUGUUUAGUAUGAUAUAUAGCAUGUUGCCUUUGAUUUUAAUAGCAAGAUGUUGGUUUAGACGAAAGAAAACUAGAAGAAACAAAGCUGAAUAAUUUCUGUGAAACCAAUGGAGUGAAGCUGCAAGUUUGGUUCUUUUCUUCCAAGAAAUCUUGAUGGAAUUUGUCUAAAGGUAACUUAUAUAUCUCCCAUCUCUCUUUCUAUGACAUGCAUGUAAUAUUUUGUUUAAAUUCAUGAUGAAUAAGACAUGAUUUGUGAAGAAACUUUGCUGGAAAUUCUGUUGCGGUUAAUGCAUGUGGGCCGAUUGGAGUAAAACUGAAAAUUUUAGCUUUUACCUUGAAUUUUGAGUGAAUUUUUUGCUAAGAUUUCAUGUUUUAUAUCAUGACAACUGUUUACAUAGAAUCUAGUAGGUUUAUAUGGUUGAAAUAAUAGUUGUAUGUUCAUUGAUUUUGCUGAAAAUUUUCCAGGUUGAUCCGAUUGUAGGAAAGCUGGAAUUUUCAACUUUCAUCUUGACUUGUUGAUGAAAUCUUUGCUAGGACCCAUGUUAUAAACCUUGGUAGAUGUUUAUAUGUUGUUUCAUGUGCUAUAUUCUGAAGUAAGUGAAGGAAUUGGAGAUUAAAAUGAGAACUUAGGGCUGCUUUGCUGGAAAGUUUCCAACUUAUAAAUGAUUGGAAGAAAGACAUGAAUAUUCUGUUUUUAACUUGACUUGUGAAUGGAUUUUUGCUAAGGUUUAAUGCUUUAUACUUUGAUGAAUGUUCAUAUGGAGUUUUAGUGUGUUUAAUGUUGAGAUUAUGUGGGAAAGUCUGGAAAGUCAGAAUGAAUUUUGAAACUAGAAAAUGUUGCUGGAAAACUGUUAAGUAGCCGAGGAGAGAGAGCUGGAAUUCUCCAGCUUUAAUUUCGAAAGUUUGGUUAAAUUUUGAUAUAUUCUGCUUAAGACAUCUUAUAGUCUCUUAAUCACAACUUGCAUGUGGAAUCCCCUUACUUUAAAACAAGAAAAUUGAGUUAGUUUUGGAAGAAAAAGGAGUGUUUCAUUUUCUGGAAAUUUUGGCAUCCUUAGUCUUGGCUUUUAGUUGGAAUUUCGGAUGGACUCUUGCUAUGAACUGUGUUAUAUGUACCUUGAUUUAUGUUGUAUAUGAUGAAUUGUGAGCUGUGUGCAGGAAUUACAUUAGAAGUUGGGAAGAAACAGGGUCAGUGUGCUGAAUUCUUAUAUACUUGACACCAAAACUUGAUUUUUAGCAUAACUUGUGUAUCAUUGCAAUUUCGUGACUAGUAAAUUAGCACGAAUGUAGUAAAUUUUCUUGGUUGAGGACUGUUUUCAUAUGAAACUAGUUAAUUAAACAUCAAAAUGCUAUAUUAUGGCCUAGGUUUAUAAUUUUAGGAUUUAGGAUCCUUGAACUCAUUCUUAAAACUUAAUAAUUGACUAAAUCCUAAUUUUUGACAUAGACAUCUACUUUUGUUAUAUUAGAUAUAUGAGAAGGGGAAAACUUAGUUCUUAAACCUUAUACUAAGGAAAUAAACAAUAACUAUAAGCAUUCAUAUCGAUUCUAGGAGCCGAGUUUGAGCUAUAAACGCAACCCUACCCCGAGGCGUGAACUUCAAUUACUUAAAACUUGGUGAGUAUUGUAUAUUUGUUUAUAAUGAUUAAACACAUGAUGAACGAUAAAUGUUAUGUGCUUAGUCGACUAAUACUUGUUGGAUUAUUGAUGUUUGAAUUGUUUGAGUGAAAUUUGACAAUUGCUACUGUUUUAUUGAAAGGUGACCGCAUACUUUAUUGCACUUGACAUAAGUGAAUUUUGAAAAUGAUAAACGCCUAAUUGUUACUGGAAUUAUGCAUGAAUGUAGGUCGAGUGUGUACUUUAUCACAUCGGCUGAACUGGGCCCCAAACCCCACUGUUAGACAGUCUAUUUGAGUCAGUAACAAGGUUGGUAGAGUAGGCUGGAAGACCUUGGGUACUGAAAUGUUUGGUAUACUCGAGUAUUACCCCCUUAAUGAUGCGCAUGUGGGAGUGACAAAGUGACUAAUGAUUGAAGGGAAUUGUUUAUUGUUUUGGAUGAUAUAAGAAGGAGAUUGGUGGAGUAUGAAGUGAUUGCAGGAAAUUGUGCAAUGAAUUAUUGAACGGAGCUAAGUGCUAUGCUUGGAAAUGAAAAGGAGCCACCUCUAGAGUCCGUCUCAAUACCGUAUUCUUUGAUAUUGAUUGUGUUAUUUGUUAAAAAUUGUUUCACAAAUUAUUCUGCUAUUAAUUGGUUUAUUAUUCCUGUGAUAUUAUUGAAAGUGUGAAAUUGUGUGUUUAAGGUUACUUGUUUUCUUAGAAUCUCACUGGAUGUAAACUCACCCCUUUAGUUUGUUUUCCUUAACAGGGGUUGGAAACGUGGAAUUGGCGAAUAGUGAGUUCAAGAGUUGAAGUCUUUGCUUUAAGUAAAUUGCCAUCUUAUUUGUAUUUAGUGAAUUGAUUGAACAACUUAUAUUUUGAUCCGUUUGGUUGUAUAUAUAAGUAUGGAUGAUUUGGAAUGUUUGAUGGUUUUUAAUGUUUAAUUGUGGUAAAGAGAGGGAUGGGGUUUCUCUCGCUUUUGGCAUAGCGGGCCCCUGUGGGAGGCUCGCACGACGGGCUAUUAGCUCAGUGGUAGAGUUUUAAUACUUCCUUUGAAGUUAAUGCCAUUGAUUGGAAGAUUUUGAAUGAGUCCUGACUAGAACUAGACAGGCGGCCUACUAAAUUUUAGGAUUUGCCUUACUGGGAGGUGGGGUCGUCACAGCCUUACCUUCAACUUUAUGAUUGAAAAAUUUCUUUGUUGAUUUUAGUUUUGCAAAGCAAAAUUUACUCUACAUAUUUCAUAUAAAACCUUUUUUCAAAAAAAAAUAUUCAUCUUUCUACCUUAUUCUAUCUGCUUUGAUUGAGCCCUUAGACAAUCAAAUUUUGGUUGAUUCUACUCCCCUACUUAGCAGACCAUGCCCUACCCUUGAAUAAUCCAGGAAGGACUUUUUGGGCAUACAAAAAGAAUUCGUACAUAAUUGCAGAAUAAAUUUCUCUUGUAUAAUGCUAACUUCCAGUAAUUACCUAAACAAACAAUUUACUGUUGUAAAGUGGCUUCACAUUGUGAGAUCUUGAUCUGAAAAAGUAUCCUAUUCAUGCAACAGCCUGAUUGGUCCUCUUUUUUGCAUUCCUAAUCUUGUUUUAUCCCAAUUCUUGAGCAAGUCAUUCGACAGCUAUUUCUGUAGAUUAAUACGUACACAGAGUAGAUACAUUCUAAAGCCAAUGCAUAUUUGCUAGUGCUGCAACUCGCAAGAAGAAUAUGUAUAACUAGCAGAGGCAGAAAAAUUGCCAAGUCAAGUUCAUAUAACAGACUGGAAGUGUUUCACAUGAUAAUUCUGUCUGUGUAAUUUACAAAACAAGAUUGACUGUGUGUAUGUGCUGUACCUUCUUGUGGUUUUCACUUCCAUCAAUUUGCACACUUUCAACGAGUUCUUCUGCCAUUUCCUCCAGCUGAAGAUUCUGUAGGCUGGUAAUGUGUUCAAUGCCUUCUGGUAGCAACUUCAACGCCAGGCAACGAAUCAAGGCAAGUUCUUUUAAGCUGGGAAGUGAUCCCUCCUCUAUUUCUACACAAUCUAACUGCAGGAGCUCCUCCAAAUGCAAUUUGCUGAGCUUAGGGAAUCCCCCUUUUAUGAACUUCAAGUGCUUGCCACUGUAUGCUUUCUUAAUUUGAAGGAAGACCAGACUUGGUAAUUUCUGGAGAGAUGGAAGAAAAUCUUCUUGUAGAUGAGAAAAUUCCAAGCACAAAUGCGUCAGGUUUGUGGCUGAUUCAAACCACUGAGGCAGCCUCUUCAAGCGUCCAAUCAAUUCUAGCUUCUGAAGAAAUGGAGGCACGAAAACCAAGUCUUCCAACAGCAGUUCCUCUUCUUCUGCACUUGCAGUUACACUCAAUCGAUGGAGGCUUGUCAUCAUUUGGAUUGAACGACAUAGGUUUGGACCGUCACACGUUUUCACUUUUGUGAUAUCUAACCUUUUCAGAUUCGUAAGAUAUCCAACUUGCUUGAUUAUCCCCUCCUCUGCUUCUACAUAAGAAAGGCUUUGCAAGCUCAGUAAGGUCCCGAUUCCUGCUGCUAGGCGCAAGCCUUGAGAAAACUUGAAAUUUUUGGGACGAUUGACACAGUUCUUGCACACAAAUAGAUGCCUCAAUUUUUCUAAUUUUAAUAUCCUUUUUGGUAACUUCUCCAAAUUGGUGUGCCUAACAUCCAACGUCUCUAGGUUCUUCAGCUUGUCUAUUGCCUUGGGGAGAUCUUUAACCUUUGUGUUCCUCAAGUUCAAGUACCUAAGAUUAAAGAGGUCAACCAAUUCGUUUGGUAGUUUUUCAAUGGGAAUGUUUUCGAGAGCAAGGACCCGUAAGAACUUAAAAUUUGAUGAUACAGCAUUUAGAGAGAAUGAUGAGCAUGUAUCUGUUCCAAAAACAAAUAGCGAGCGAAGAUGGCGUGAUGUUGUCUUGUUUAAUCGAAGAUUCUUACCUCUAUUAUACACUGACAACCGCUGUACAUUUCUUGAGAUUUUGGACUCUUGGCUAUCAUGUAAUCUGCAGAAAUUCUCCCUUUCUGAGGUUGUCAUUGCAAGCUCUCGCAUAACAUCAUGUACCCGAAAAGUCUUCACUCUUCCAUUGUCAUUGAUUUGUUUAACUUGGAUCAUGCUCCGGAGAAUAAGUUCCAUGAGAUGGUCCUCGGCUACUUCCUCCAUUGUCAUCCCUUUCCUUUCUAGGAUAAAUCCCUCAGCAAUCCAUAGACGAAUCAGCUUCUUCCUCUUAAUCAGAUAACCAUCAGGGAAAAUACAGCAAUACAAGAAACAGUACUUAAGGUAGAAAGGUAAAUCAUUGAAACUCAUCAUCAGGAUGCCCUUCACUCGUUCAAGGAGUGGAUUGUAGCUAAACUGCCAAUUCAGGCUGUCAUGAACCUUCUUCCACUCUAUAGCUGUCUUGCUUUUUGAACACAUGAGACCUCCAAUUGCAACUAUUGCAAGAGGCAACCCUUCACAUUUUCUCAGGAUGGCUUUUGCUAAUGCUUCAAGCUCUGGUGGACAUUGAUGAACACACCCGUUCCAAAAGGCCUUUGUGCAGAAAAGGGUCCAAGCAUCAUGUUCUUGGAGAGGUUCAAGACGAUGGACUCUACUUCCAGGUCCAACAGACAUUGCCACAUUCUCAUCUCUUGUUGUUAAAACAAUUCUACUUCCACAAAGAUUCACUGGGAAUGCACCUCUUAUUCUACUCCACAGAUCUAUGCUCCACACAUCAUCUAAGACAACCAAGUACCUUCUGUUAUGCAAGUACUCGAUAAGCAUCUCCAUAAGCUGCCGAUAAUUCAUUGAUCCAAGAUUCCUAGGAAUCAUCGCUUGUUCUGUUUUCAGGAAUUCUUUGACCAUGCUUCUUAGCAGACCCUCAAUUUGAUGAGCUUGGGACACAGAUAUCCAUGCUAAAGAAUCGAAAUGACGCUUUAUCACUUGAUCAUUGAACACUUUGGUCACCAGAGUAGUCUUUCCUAAACCUCCCAUGCCAACAAUUGAGACAACUGUCCGUCGCUGUUCAUUUCCCGUCAACCAAUGAUAUAAUCUCGCUUUGUUUUCAUCAAUUCCCACUAUAUCAUCUUCAUCUGCAAAGACUGAUGAUUCUCCAAGAUGCUGCAACCAGUCAGUGGGCAAAUUUAUGGUCCUUUCCUCAUCAAAUUUGGCAUCAAAUGCAUAUCUCUUGCUCCUUUCUGAAACUUCAAGUACCUUUGCGUUGAUACUUUGCAUCUCUGAAGAUAAUCGACGCAUCACAGUGAGUUUUCUUGGCAGGUUCAUGGUUUCUUGAACAAAAUCUUUGAGCCCAUUCUUUUUGGCUUUAGUACCAUUGUAGUAUAUGAACUCAUCAAUUGUAUUUUCAACUUCAAUUGCCACUUCUCUUACCUGCCUCACCCAAGUUUCCACAGAUUCACUCCUUUCUUUCCUUCUCUCGGCAUCUCUUAAGAAGGAUUUCAUAGUUUCUAGUUCAAGCUUGAUUUUCUCAAUUUCAUUUCGAGCAUUUCCCAACACUGAGGCAUUUUGAAGAAGUAUUGUCGUCAGUUUAUCUAAAAGGUAGUUAACAGCACCAUCUGCCAUUUUUGCUAUGAAGAAUUCCUAUCCUUCUUCUCUCUGUAUCUCUUUACCUUCACCUUCCUCCUCCUCUACCCCUGUCCCCCUUCUCUCAGUUCUUUGUGUGUGUGUGUGUGUUUGACUGUUGACUGUCUGCAAAGUCUUGCCUCUAUCUCAGUAAUGUCUUGGAAGGAGCAUGUACCAAUUACUUUUUGACUUUCGGCCUUAAAAGACUUGGAAGACUUCCAACUGUUCGUAUAUGCAAUAAGCUCUUUAAUUAAGGAAAAUGCUGUAGCAACGUUCGCACCGUCUUUUACUUUUUUUUUUUGUCGACGGAGUGGGGUGUCCGGGUCAAGUCCGUAAAGGCGGCCCGACUAAUCCCCACUUCGGUCCGGCCCAGCGCCCCAACCGGAUCUAGCACGUUAAAUGCACGGCGAACUGAUGUUGCUGCGGAGGUUCGACCCCAGGACCUAACGGUCCCGAGGAAGAGGCGCCAACCACCAUUCACGUGGGGGCAAAAAGUAAACCAUUAGAUCCAUGAACAUAUUAUUAUACUUUUAACGAUUAUUUAAUUAUCUAUCCACUUAAAUAAGAUAAUAUCUAAAAACAAAGAAGUAAAUUUCUCAUUUAAAAUACUAAGUUCAUGUAAUAAAUUAGUAACUUUUGUGUCUCAAAAAGUAACUUGGAAUAAAUAUGAAACUUACUUUUAAAAAAAAUAAAUUACUACUUUAUAUCUCAAACUUACAUUUUGAGAUUAAAGUUUAGUUCAAAUAAUAAUAAGUUUUUAUACAUAAAUAGUAAUUCUUACUUAUAACAUAGUAAAGUUGAUUAAUGGCCAAAACUUACUAAUUCAUGGCACAAAUGUAUUAUUUUACUUAAAAAAACUUAUACCAAACCAAUAUUAGGACCUUUUUUGAAUUAAUGAUAAGAUUUUUUAUUAAUGAUUGAAACUUAGUAAUCUAGUUAGUAAGUACUCAUAAUAUACCUAUACAAUACACGGCUCUAUGUAUAAUUUAAAAUCUUUUGUAUUUAUAUAUUUUAGAAUACUAUGAAAAAUAUUUUGACUUCUCACAUAACCUUAUAAAAUAUGUAAUAAAAUUUUGAUGUAUUAUAAUUUUGAAUGAUUUUUUAAAUUUUUGAAAAGUUUAAAAGUUUGGAUAAUAAUAACAACACAUCUUCCUAGCUAUGCAUGAAAUAUCACUUGUCUAUAUGAUUUCCAUAAUUUAAUACCUAUUUAUAUAACAAGAUGAUAAAGUUUUAAUAAAUUUAUUGUCUGGGACACAAGAAUUAAACUUGUAUUAAUACAGACCUAACAAAAUGAGAGAAAUAGUGUAACAAUUAUACAACAAUAAAAAUGACAAAAUUAGUAUAAUUUGGAAAAAGUACUCCUAAUUAAAACACAAUAAAAUCAAGUGUUUUUUUUGCCUUUUUGAUGUAAUAGUUAUGUUUACUGGAAAAUUAGUAAUCCAUUCUUAUGAUACAUAGUUUUUUUUCUAAAAGUACUAAAUUUUAUGUAAAUAAAUUGGAAUAAUUUUGUAAAAGAUUUUAUGCUUUAAUAUAAUCAAGAGAAUUUUGCACCUUUAAAAUAUAAAUAGAAAGAAAGGACAAUGGUAGGAGCAUAAAGGUGACCAAAUGCAAUACAUAUCACAUCAUGAGUUUAGGUAUGAUUUAUUUAAGUAAUCAGUAAUUUAGUCCUAGUCAAUAUACAAUGCCUAUUGAUUUCCUACAAAUGAAAAUAUAAUUUAGCAGUUAUGCAUUAAUGGAAUUCAUAGUUUGAAUGCAAUCAAUUGAGCACCUAUUUCCUUUUUUAAGUAACUAUUAUUUUUUGUUGCUUAGGUUAAAUAUUUACAUAUAAAAUAAUAGCAAUAGAAUGCCAAUCCUUAGACCAAUGGAACUUCAUUUAUUGUUAAUAAAAAUAAUUUUACAUUGAUAAAAAUUAGUCUAGAAGAUGAAAAGUCAAUGGCAACAAUUGCUAAAAUGUAGCAAUUUUUAAUUUUGGGAAAAUAAAAAAUAAGUUCCUAAAAUAUUUCACUUUUAUUGUUUUAAAAAAUCUCAACUUGUUAACUAAAUUCAAAACAAUUCGAUUAUCAAAAAUAUUCUUCCUCAAAUUAACCUUAAUGAUUAGAUGUAAGAUACAAAUAUGCUAAAAUAUCUCUCAUACGUAUGUCAUGGAUAUUUGAGACUUUCAGUAAAAAAAAUUUUGUUGUUAAAAUAACAUUGAAUCAUAGUGUGCUAAUUAUUUUAGAACCGUUGUAUACAUGAGUUGAAUUUAAUUUAAAUUAUACAAUAGAUUAUAUGUGCAUGUAAUUUUCGUUUAAUUGUUGGAUCUCAUUUUUCUGAACAAUCUCCCAAGGAAAAAGUCCAGAUCAUACUGAUUUUCUUAUACUAAUUAUGUCAUUUUUAUUGUUAUACUAUUUCUCAUUUUGUUUGGGCUACAUUAAUAUACGUUUAACCCUUAGUAAUUCUUUUUUUUUUCAAGAAACCACUUUAUUCAUUCAAACCGAACCAACACGGAUACAAUAAAAAGGUCAGAAAAUUCGACUAAACCAUCCUCCUAGGCUAGCCUACUCUCCUGCUCCUAACCGAAAGAAUGCCUGCCCUAUCUAGGCGAAUUUCCCUGUGUGCCAGUCGUGGAAUUUCACUGAACUGAUCAUAGACGUUGAUAUUCCGAGCAUGGGCCGAAGUGCCCACAUUGGCCAGGUUGUCCGCCACUCUGUUGGCUUCUUUGUAGCAAUGGGUUACCCGAGUCACGUCUGCAACCAUACCCCAAAUCUGUUCAACCUCUCUCCGGACAACCCACGGGCACUGUGUUUGGCGUUGAAGAAUCCCAACCAGAACUAGUGAAUCGACUUGUAUACUGACAUUGGUAAAACCCUUUUGAAUGCACAAGCGGAGUCCCGUUACCAGUGCCAAAACUUCUGCGCGCAGACUCGAAGCUUCCCCGAAGUAAGCUGAGAGAGCAAAAACUGGAAACCUUGAUGCAUCACGAAGUAUUCCCCCACCACCACUCACUCCAGGAUUACCCUUGGAGCAUCCAUCCGUAUUUAGCGUUAGUAUUCCCGCCUCUUUCGCCUUCCACCCACCAGCUGACAACUAUAGCGCGAUGUCUGAGGAGUAGUCCACUCAUACAGCUGAAGAAACGUUUGCAUCCCAAGCCUCUAGUUAAACUGAGCCUCCAACACCCCUUUCACGUCUAGCACAAUGUCCUAGAUGUAAAUUUAUUAAAACCUCAUCAUCUUAUUAUAUUCAUAGGUAUUAAAUUAUAGAAAUUGUGAUAUAUAAACAAGUGAUAUUCUAUAUAUAACUAGGAUGAUUUGUUGUUAUUGUUAUCCAAACUUUCAGACUUUUUAAAAAUUGAAAAAUAAUUAAAAAAUUAUAAUACAACAAAAUUUUAUUACAUAUUUUACAAGGUUAUAUGAAAAGUCAAAAUAUUUUUCAUAGUAAUUUAAAAUACAUAAAUACAAAAGAUUUUUAAAUUAUACAUACAAUCAUGUAUUAUACAGGUAUAUUACCAGUACUUACUAACUAGGGUACUAAGUUUUAAUCAUUAAUAAAAGGGAAAAAAGUCCCAAUGGCCCUUCAAUUCUUUCCCAGGUAAAGUUUUAGCCCUCUAACAAUUAACGGUAAAGUUUUGGCCCUCGAUCUAAUAAAACGGCAUAUUCGUAGCCCUUCUGUCAAACCUAGCAGUUAAAAUUGACGGGAAGCAUCAUCUCAUGAGACGCAUGACCAAAUAUCAAAGUCAUUAUAGUCUCCAAAGGAGGGUUUACCAAGCAAAGAGAGAGUGAAAAGGUCGCUUAUUCCCUUACCUUAUGUUAGAGCAAGAAAAAUCUCCAUUCCAGUCGAAGUUGGAGCUGAAAAUGCGAAGAAUGAACAGUUCCCCUCUACCAGUGUGCAGAUGUGACAAAGAGACUAGGGUGAUUAUUUCGUGGACUUCAAAAAAUCCCGGGCGAAGGUUUGCUGUGUGGACGGAAGGUUGCUGCGGAUAUUGGGCAUGGAUCGAUAAGGAGAUAUGCCGACGGUUGACGGAAAUUAUACCUGGCCUUCUUUGAAAGAUGAAUGCAACUGAAAAGGACAGAGAUGCAUAUGAAGAAAUAGCAAGAAGAAAUGAAAGAAAAGUAACAAAAUUGAAGGAAAAAGUUAAAGGAUUGGAGAAAGAAAUUCGCUGCAAGAAAUGGGUUAAUAAGUUGCUGGUGAGAUUGCUUUUUUUAACAUGGAUAUUAAUUUUUUAAAUUUUGAUAAGUUGGGGCCAAAAAAAUGGAAACCUUGUCAGUUUUCGGCAAAUAGAAGGUGCUUGCAAACACCUGGCCCUUACCAAGUUGAAGUUUGCAGGGGAAGAAGAUGAUCCAAACUGUUCCUUUUAAUGUAAAUUUUUUAUUUAUAGUUGUAUGAUGUAUCCGUAAAGCUUGUAAUGAAAUCUGUGUUUGUGGUUGUCCCAAUGAAAUAUCUAGUUGUCUCUUUUUAUUAAAUGGAAGUGCUGUAGUUUAUUUAUUCGACUCAAUGAAUUGUUUUGUAUUGUGGUUAGAAAAAAGUCAUAAUAAUGGUGCAAUAAGAAGGAGCAAAUAAAGCCAUAUUGCAAAUAAAGCCAUGUUUUAUCAUAUUAAUCACUUGCGUAGUACAUCAUUUAUGAAGUAACUAGACACAAGUUAUGAAAUCUGGCCAUGGAUUCAAAACCAAGCUAUAAAAAUUUUAAAUUUCAUCAUAAAAUUAGGAAUUUCUAUACAUUUAAGAGCAUCAAAAGUUGGCUAUAAUGCAAAGUAGAAUCAGCAUGUUACCAACAAGGAACUACUAGACAAAAAAAACAAAGAAGAACUACUAGACACCAAAACAUGUUCUGAUAUGGUAAUGAAUUGUCACCAUCAGUUUACACAGCAUAAGACAAAAAGAGUUUGUCAAAAGUUUGGUCUAUCAUGGCUGAGUUCCUCUUCUAGGCUGUUCCUUUUCCCAUUCCUCUUUCACCUUGUCUUCCUCUGCCCCUGCCUCUUCCACUCAAUCUCCCCCUCCAGUUGCCAACUGUAAAUGGGGGCUUCUUACCCAAAUAAGCAUAGUUAGCAUUGUGGCUCCUUUUUCUGCAUCGGUAAGUGGCUUUGUAGUUGAGUAUUUUCUAAAUUCUUUUUACUGUGAAUGAUGUUGUUGUUGGCCCUAUUGUGGAUGUUGCUGCCCAACUUUGUGACGCCCCCACUUCUCCCAAGGACGAACCCAAGGGUAUCCGCGGAAAUCCUGCCCAACUCUCGCCAGGACUCGAGACAAAUCGAUUAAAGCUUAACAAUAUUAAACAAUUUAUACUAGUCUAAUAAGGAAAAGUCGCUUCUAUAAUCGAAUAUCCAAGUCUUGCACCACGAGUUCAAAAUACAUCAGUUAGCCAAUUCUUACAUCAGGAUCCGAAAGAUACAUCAAUUCCCAAAUAAAUACAACAUCCAAAAGUGUCUAGUCGAUUACAAUUAAAACACUAAUACAAAAGUGCCUCAAUUCGGCAUUUGUUUAACUCUUUCCAAUCGGGUUCCUGUUAAGGAAAACAAACUAAUGGGAUGAGCCAAUACUCAGUGAGGCCAAGAAACAAACAUGCAAACACGUAAUCCAAGUAGCCACAAUUUACAUAGUUAAUAAAGCUAUCAAGUUCGAAUAAUUUACAUUUCGAAUAGGAAAAGUAAACAGAAACAAUUCAAGGAUACUGUAGCUCUCAGGAGCUAAAUUCCACGUAGUCGUAUACAAGUCUUGAUCACAUCACAUGUUGACACUCCGUCAACCACAUAAGUAUCAAAUCCGUAGAUACACCAUUUUACUUCGAAUCCCGUCACCGUUACACCCCUUUACCGGGCCCGCUCAUCAAAGUUUUUGAUAAUACUCGAAUAUAUCAUGGCAAUACUGCGCGAGUAAUGCCGAGCAAGAUCUCUCCAAUAGAUCAUGCUCUACGAAUAUCUCAUGGUUUGCUAAGCUUAUCGACCAAACCCAUGCUGGCUCGAUUCGUAAAGUUAGCCAACGAGUUUAGAUGUCCCCCGAAUAUGAAUACGAAUACGAAUAUAAGUGGAUGAGCAACGCUCAAAUCGACGAUUCCAAAUAGGAAUCACAAAUACGAAUCACAUCCACAUUACUAAGUACAAGUCGAAUAUGAAUUCACAUAGCCAAAUACGAAUAUAAUUUCAUUUGAAGGAGAACGAGUGCGGUAAAGUACACAUUCGUCUCACAAAGUUCAAAUUCGUAUAACGGAAAAGAAACAGUUAAUCACUUAGCAACAAAUUCAUGCACUUGACACUCACCAAUCGAAACAAGAGAGUAAGUGCAUAAACGAGCCUUUAGGUGUUCCCCUCGAGAUCCUCUUGAAGGUCUCCUUGAGCACCUGAGCAAAUAGUAAUUGUCUAUUACACACUAUCGCUUAAAACCCCUAAUUAUCGAGGAAGAUUGCACACUUGUACAAUCUAAGAAAAUUUCACGAAAAUGAGCCUUAAUUACUCAUAAAUCGAGGCUCAAAAAUGGGGUUUUAAAACACAAGUGAGAUCUGAUUUUCAUUUUGAAAUCAAGUGUAAAACGGUUUAGCAGUAUCGAAGGAAAAUAGAGAGUUCGCAACCCUCAAUUUUCUUUAAGUUCGGAAAUUUCAGAUUUGUCACCCAUACUUUGAAAAAUCGUAUCUCAUUCUCUAUAAGUCCAGAAUUGGAAAACUUGGUACCGUUGGAAAUCUCUUAGAAAGUUAUAAAAGUUCUUAGAAGACAAUUUUCCAUGAUUCCAAACGGAAGAUAUCCAAAAUUUAGCUCAAAGUUGCUGUUCUGGGGCAUUGAAGACAGAUUUAGGUUGGUUUUUAGCCAACUUUGAAAAUUCGGCAAAAUUCACCCAUUGCGAACCAGCCUUUGAAAUUUGGAACUCAAUUAGAGUUACAAACAAGGUUUUAAAAAAAGUAAGCGGAACAAAAUCGGAGUUUUGAGCACCGAGAUACGGUAGCUCAAAGUUACCCAAAUUUCCUUGCUAAACAAGGGUUUUCCAACAUCAAGUCAUGAACUUUGGAAAUUUAGUUGAACCAUGAAACGGCCUCGGAAUAACACCAAAAUUAUCAGUAUAAUACUACCAUAUAAGGGUUGUUCCUCUACCAAAUUUCAUGGAGAAAUAAGCACAGAAAGUGGGUUAACAAAACCGUUGAAAUCACAAGAAAUUCUAAGGCUAAACUGCCUUUGAACUUCCAUUUUGCCAUUUCCAAACAUUUGGUCAAGGAACAUCUCAAACAUGGUUCAUUCCAGUAGAAAAUGUCCAAAAUAUGUUCAAGGUACAUUCGAUAGAUGAUUUACACUAAGAAGCUUCGGAUAACAAGUCCCUAACCAUAGUUAGUUUCAAAUCUGUCCAAAACACUGUUUUCGUUCACAAAGUCAGUUUUGAAUUUCGAUCAUAAAUCACUCAAUUCAACUCAGAAUUGAGUGUGGUUUGUGGCGUUAGAAAAUAGACUCAUAAGGCUAUAUGUUCUCAGAAGAAACCAUUUUCAAAAUUUGUCCAUAACCAGCUCAUACGUGAGCAUCAAAUCGCAGUUCAUAAUCUGUCUCCCAGUGACAAACGAAACAGGACAUCAAUUUUUAAACGAAUGGUUUGGCUCACUCGAGAGGAACCAGAACAUGCAUUUUAUACCAAAUGAAAGCUGGGAAUGUCUAGUAUUCAGUUCCGCAAAUGGCACUCGAUUCCAACAUCGGAGUGAUGAAUUAUAGCCGAAACAAGAUGACUGUUUGGGUAGUGACGGGAAUCAUUUUCCAGUUUUCUAAACUUUGGAAAUCACUUCAUUUAACCAACCAAAUCAUAUUAUUUUUCCAUGAAACUUUUUACACAAUCAAUAUAUCAUGUAAACAACAUAAAAAAGCCAUUAGAAUCUUAAAAUUUUGCACAAAAGUGGUCGAACAAACCAGGGGCAAAAUGGUCACUUUUUCCCAUUGCACCUCAUUUGAGUUUUUACGCAUAGCAUCACUCAUUUCUAGUAUAAUAAGCACUAAACCAACAUUAUUUUCAUCAUCAAUCACCAAAUCAGUCCUUCCAUCAAAGGUGGGAGUUCAUAGAGCCCACCAAACAAAAAUCCAUCAUAAACAAGACUAACCAUAUGCAUGCAAGGGUUUAAAUGUGCACUAGAACUUCCAUAAAUCAAAACUAGAAGGUUUGAUCAUUACUUACUUUGGUUAAGGAACUAAGCAGAAAUUUCGGUCCUCCCUCGGUGCAAGAAAACCGUGGAAAGCUCCCUUUUUGUAUAGCUAGAUGAACUCUCCAAGUGCUUAACUACGUGUGGUUAAAUUUUGAUGAAAUUUGGUGAUGUUUUGAUGGAGAUUUGGAGUAGAGAAUUGAAGAACUUUGGAUGGUUUUGCUCCUCCUUGUAGCCGGCCAAAUGAGAGAGAAAAGAGAGGGAGUUUUAGUUCAAUUGAAGCUUCCAAGAGAAGAUACAAUAUGUGGCCACAAUUCACCCAAAGGUCAACUAAGAAUAGUGCGCGUAUGCGCGCGUUUUGUGUUUGAUUCCUCUCAGGCUUAUUUCACUAGUGCACUAAACCUUUAUUACACUUAUACUCAUAUGAAAAUUAUUCACUCUUAAUCGUCCCAAAAUAAGGGUCUAAAGUCCCUCAAUUAAUCACGCGCGUAAAAACGCGUACUUCCAAUUUAUACGCUAUAGAGCGAAAUCUUUAAGAAAUUCUUAUAACGAUAGUAUUACUAACUAAUAAUUGAGCACUUAAGCAUAAAAAUACCUAUUUUGAGACUAAUGUAUAAGUCUCCAAUUUUCCAAGCUUUUUGUAUCCUCAAUUCAAUUAUUUACUCCAAUCGCGUAUUCACUAUUCUCACUUUACGAGCUUUCAAAAAUUAAAUUUUGAAACAAGUCACUUUAAAAAUAUAAUUAAACUAUAAACUCAUGUAAUUAGGUCUAAAUAGACUACAAAAUAAUAUUCGGAGUAAAUGGGCAAUUAAAUAUUUAAAUAAGCUUGAAAUGGAAUUUAAAAUAAUAAAUUUUGCGAGUCCUCACAUGAGUCGAGUUUUAACUCCUCAAAUCUCUAAUUAACUUUUCUUAAUCUAUUAUUGAUCAUUCUUACUUCUCCAAAAUUAAUAUACUCUCGAUUCAAAUAUAGCCUCAAAAAACGUGUAAUCGUUGUUCCAAACUAAACGAGUUUUCAAAAAGUAAAUUUUCUAACAAAACGCUUUAAAAACAUAAGAGAUGUGUUUUUCCAUAUAAAUGGAUUUUAAGCAGUCGAAUUAAAUAAUUCGGAGAAAAUGAGUGAAUAACUAUUUAAAUAAACCAGUAAUAUAUUACGAAAAUAAGAAAAUUUUCGGAUCCUCAUAAACUUCAUCGUUAGUUUGUUGAGUUUGUUGUUGCAAAUUUUGAGAAGACUGGUCUGGUUGGUGAUUCGUAUGAGACUGUCAGCAGAUAUGUGUAAGUACAUGACUGAUGGAGAGUAAUGAAAAAUUAACAGAUUUAAUGCACUUACUGCUGUCCUCCAUUUUUCUGCUGGUUGCUGCCUCUGCUGACUACUAGGUUGAGCCUCGGAUGACCUGUUAGAACCUUGUUGAGUUUCUUCAUUGGGAGGCUUCUCGCACAUAGCUAUGUUAUGGCCAACCUCACCACAUUUUCUACAAUGAAUGACAAUCCUCCUCCUCAACCUUCUACCAUGAUCUCUCCCCUCAAUCACAUCCCUUCUCCUAGCCUUUUUAGGCCUACCAGAUUGAGUAACUGAUGUUGGCGGAUCCAACACAGGCAUGGUGGAUGGGGGCCAAUGAUCCUCGCAACUAAUUGGUUGCAAAACAUUCUCAUAAAUCUUGAAGAGGAGGCCUCUGCUAUAAGAACGAUCCAGAUAAUUGUAAGGAUCCUCUUCUCGCAUCAAGAUAGCAGCAAUUGCAUGACAACAUAGAAUUCCACUAACCUCUCAUAAUCUACAAGUACAAUAAUUUUUUUGCAUAUCUGCUGCAAAUUGGGCCCCUCUUGGACCCUUGACUUGAUACCCAUGCAGUGCAUUCCAAAUGGGCAUCCACUGACUUGAAUGUUUGACCCUAGUCUCAACAAUUUCAUUAAUUAAAGGUCCAAUGGAGCCCUUGUUUUUCCCUAUUGCAGCUCGUCUUCUUUGGAUCUUGUUCAUAAGAUAUUCCCUUAUCAGUUCCAACAUUGUGAUGAUAGGUUGGUCCCUUGCAUCCUUAAUAUGAGCAUUGAAGGACUCGCAUAAGUUGUUCACUAUCAUAUCACUCUUGACGUGAGUUGGAAAGUAUGUCUUGCACCAAUGCCGAGGAUGAGGGGCUUUCUUGACCCAUUCAUAUGCAGCCUUAUCAAUAGUUUGAAGUUCAUCCAUAGCUUUGUUGUACAUUUCCACUGUUGUGCAACAUGCUAUAUUCCACGACCUGUCUUUAAGAGCCAAACCAAGAUGUUUUUUCUUGAAAUUAUGGUACAUAUGUUGGACACAGUACCUGUCCUCACAAUGUCAUUUAAGUUGUUAUUAAACAGUUGAAAAUUAUAAUGCAAAAAAAGCUUGAUAAAAAUGUAUAUGUUUGAAAGGAUAACAAAAUACCUGUGCUCACAUCCAGGCAGAACUUCAGUAAGUGCCCUGUCUAGCCCCUAAAAUGGAAUCAUGAUAGGUUGUUAGCUUCUACCGAGCAUUGAAAGGAAUUUUGACUUUGAAAGUUUCAUAUAUUGUUAAUAUCAUACCUUUUGCUGAUCUAAUAUAAAGGUAUAGUAGCACUGAUUUUCGAUUAUCAAAUCCUCACUUAGAUAUUUGAGAAACCAAGCCCACUGCUCAGUUGCUUCUCUCUCCACAACUGCCCAAGCAAUGCGCCACCAUCCAUUAUUUGGGUCUGCAGCAAUGGCAGUUAGUAAUUGUCCUCUAUAAAUCCCCUUUAGAUGGCAACCAUCCAGGCCUAUUAUUGGCCUACAGCCGUCCUUGAAUCCCUUCUUCAGUGGUCCUAAAUAGCAGUACAACCUCAUGAAUUUAGGAUUACCCCCUGAUCCUCUAAAUGGAGUAAACAUUAUCUUCAUUGUACUCCCUUCAUGCGUCUUCUUUAUUUCAGCACAAUACUCCCAAAUUUUCUUGUAUUGUGCUUCAGUCGGCCCCUGUAUCAUUAUGAGAGCCAUUUUCCUCGCAUUAGAAGCCACCCAUUUAGAAAUUUGAGUUUGGUACUCCUCAUACACCGUUUGCCUAAUCUCUCGAGUUGGCAUGCGAGUGUUUGAUCUAAUUCUCUCCAUAUAUCUAUUUGACAACCAAUUGGCCUUCAAAUUUUUAUUUUUCCAAGCAUGAUUGCAGUUUUCAUGCUUGUCAUACAUUGUCUUCACCACUAAAUCUGUUGUGCCAAGUGCCUUUUCAACUGAGGCAAACACAUACUAUGGACAUGGAUCUUUACACUUGGCUCUCACCCUCUUUGGUUCAUUCUUCUUUGUGUACACUGGCUUUCCCAUCUUAAUUCCAUAUUCUUGGAUAGCAGUUUUGAAUUGGGCUCUUGACUCAAAUUUCAAACCUAACUCGAACCUUGUAUCAAUUCUAAAUUUUUCCCAAGAAAAAUCUUUAUACCUACCUGCAUACUACUCAGUUUCUUGAUCUUGCUCUGACGAAUCAGCAUCACUACAUAGAUGAUCUGGGAUUGUAUCUUCUGCCAACGCAUCUAUUUCAAGUCCAGAAUCUUGGGUUUGCUGCCGCUGUUGUGUUUUUCUUCUUCGCCUUACUUGAAUUUUUUUCAACUAUGCUUGCUGAUGUUGUAGGGACUCUUGUAUUUCAGCCUGUUCAAUAGUAGGCUGCUGAGUUGAAACUCAUCCCUGCUGUGAAGGUCCUUCAGCUUGCACCUCUUCUAAUGUGCUUCUACAUUGGGUUGGUUCCAAUGUCAAAUCAUCAAGAAGAGCCUCAUCUCUACUGUCGCGCCCUAUUUUUAAAAAAAAAACAAAAUUUAAGUAUUUAAGUGUUUGAAAAAUGAAUUUUUGAUUUGAAAAAUGAGUUUUUUAUUUUAGAGAAUAAACAAAAGAAAAAGGGCCUAAAAUGGGAUUUAAAAAGUGCGACGGUUUUGGUCCAAAAUAAUAGUCUGAAAAGGGUUUUUAGGAAAAAUAGGAGUCGCCAUUUGGUAUUGAGUUAAGGCGUACCAAGUCACCCAAAAUUUGUUUUUUAAUAAAAAAUAAACAAAACCCUUUUCAGACGACUCCAGGUCUUCUAAAAACAAGAGAAAAGAGUUCGGGAGUGACGUUUGAAGAAAGGGAAGGCAAAUAUUUGAUCUAAGGCACCCUUUCAACCCAACCAAACCUAGUUGCGUGAUUUAGUCGAAAAUUUUCUUAAUCUAACCUAUGAAACUUAUCACAUUUGGAUGUUUCUACAUGGAUGCAAAUCUAGACCUAAUGGAUAUCGAGAGGGUCGAAAUAUCUCUUUAAAGUUUAAUUGGUGCAAAUCAUAUUAAUUGUGAUGCCCAAAAAUGAUUCUUAGAAGAUGUCACGAAUAUGCAAAAAUGAGACUCGAAGAAAAGAAAAAUUAUAAUAUAUAAAUAUACGUGACCUAAAGAGAGGAAUGCAACAUAAUAGGUACGGGGGACUAAGAUUCGUGACUUUAAUUUUCCUUUUUAUAGAGGAGAUAUGAGUGUGCUAAGACUAAAAAAAUCAUACUCGUACAUUUAUCAUAUUUGAAAGGUGACUCUCCUAAUCUAGUCAAGCAAAUGAGCUAAUAUAUUUCUAAUUUCCUAAAUGAGAUGCAAAUCUAAAUGUCAUGUUUCACGCACAUAGGGAUAAUGGAGAUAAUAGAUAGAGGAAAUAUCAUAUAAGAUGAGAAAAAGAUCCUAAAAAUGAAAAACAUGUAUGAAAUGCGAUGAAUGUCACGCAAAAAGAGUGAAUAUAGCACGACGGCCUAAAGGGUCUAACAUUGGAUUAGUCCAUUUCUACAAGUCUUCACUAGCGUUGGACUGGUGAGAAAUCGGGGGAGAAAAGCCACAACUAGCGUUGGACUAGUAUGGUGACGUCACACAUUUAUUAUAAACAAAUAAAUCAUAUAAAACAUAUUAAAGUAAAUAAACACAUAAUGCACAUAGAACACAUAACACAUAAGCAUAAUUUCUAGAUGCAAAACCCUAAUGAAAACGAAUAAACACGUAAACACACAAGCAUGCAAGCACACAAGCAUAUAAAUGCAAAUAAAAACCUAAUUAUUACAUUCGGAGCCCUAAUUACAAUAUAAGGGGGGAAUUUAAAAUAUAGUAACCUAACUAUUGCAUUUAUCUAACUAAAUACAUUUUAGCAAAAAUUAAAACUUAUCUAUUACAUAAGCUAGCUAAAUACAUGUCUUGAGCACCUAUCUAUUACAACUUGGCAUUUAUUGCCUCUCAAAUAAUCAUCAAAAUUAAAUAAAACAAAUGAAACUUAAAAUGAAUAAGAAUGACUAAUUAAAAGAAAAAACACUCAAAACAUAGAAUUACACAUAAAACACAUUGGAGCACAUAAAAGAGUUUAAAAUAAUAAAAGAGGUUACAUCCCUUAAAGUGGUGAUUAAAUGGGGUGAAAUUUGCCCUACUUAUACUCCAAAAGUAACAAAAUAAUCAAGGCAUCAAUUUAAUUAUAAAGAAAUGGAAAUAAUCAUGCAAUCUACCAAUUAAAGCACUUGAAUGAAGUAUAAUUAAUAAUUAAAGAAGGAAAGCAACUUGUAUUUAAGAAAUCAAAACUACUAGGGACUUCCUUGCAAAAAUUAAGAAAGUUUUUAUGGUCAAAUUAUAAUUAUUAUAAAAAUUAGGGGUCAAAAUUAAAGAAAAAUGAAGUUUAGGGACCAAAAUACAAUUAAAAUAGGGACUUAAUUGAAAGAAAUCAAAAGUUUUUAGAGCCAUAGUAUAGUUACUCAAAAGUCCAGGGGUUAAAGCGCAAAUUUCAGCAUCAGAUCACUUGAGAAGAAGGCCAUUGGGCCAUUUCUUUUAAUUUCUUUGGGCCAAAGCUUCCUAAGCCCAAAGUCCAAGAAAAACAAGCAGGCCUCUUUUUCCAAUCAAGCUGAACCCAAAAAAAGUAUGGGUUUUAGCAUUCAAGCUCAAGUCAAAACCCAUCUAAAACAAACCAAAACCCUUUUACUAAACCCAACCAAACCAACCUUAAAGCCAAAACUUAAAUUUUCCUACAAAACCCAACAAGAUAAAAUCAGCUAAAAAUAUUAAACCCUAAUUACGCCCUAGAGUUUAGAAUUAUUCUGCCCAAAAACCUACUUAACACAUGAAAAGAGGAUUAAAACUUAGAAGGGGCAAAAUUGAUUGAUAGCAGAAGUUUUUGGGCCAUAGUAGAAUUAUGCAAAAGUUAGGGUCAAAAUGAAAAUUUUAGAAGUUAUCAUGCAUCUUCUACGAAGCAACUUCCAAACCACGGCCUUUUUUUUUUAGGGAAUAAACCAAGUCAAAACCAUUCCCAACCUUGUAACAUAAUUACCAAAAAUAUCAACUAAACUACCCAACUUUGGUAGAAAAGAAAAAAGUUAUGGGACAUGAACAUGCAAAGACAGGAAAGAACAAGGCAACGCGAGAAUGGAAAAAAAAGGACAAACAUGCAUGACCAAGAGAAAAAAAUAGCUCCAAUCAGAUUUAUUUGUACAUCUUAUCCUCUUCUAUUGCAUCAAAACACUGAGUAAACCAUAUUCAUCCAACCCCAGACAAAGUUAUCCAUUGAGGUGCAAAGUCAUUCCAAGCAGUAAUAACCCAAAAGGCAUAGAUUUCAUGGAUUCUGCUUCGUGCAUGAAUUAGAAGGAAUAAGAAGUGGAGUUAUGAUUACCUGAGGAUGAAUCUUGAACGAGGUUGAAGCAAAAGGAACAAGCAGACGAUGAUUCCUAUGGGAUUUUUUUGCAAACUUGCAGGUGUAUCAAUCAAACGGAGUUGCGGUUUUGGGGAGCAAAUUCGAAGCCUUUCCCAAUGUUUUCUAUGAAAAGUUUCUUAAAAAACCUCCUUUCCCAAACUCCCUAGUUUGCGAAGAAAUUGAAAUCUUCUCAAAAUAAGCUAUAUUGAGAGAGCAAUUUUGGUCACAGCACGGCUGAAAAGUCAGCCUUGGUCGGAAAUAAUUUUUUUGCAGAAAAAUUUUCUUUUUCUCUCUGUUUUUUCUUCGUUUGCUGUUUUUCUUUCUCUUUCUUUCUUGCUCCGCCACCCUUCCUGUUCUCUUUCGUUUAUGAGCCUUUUAUAGGCACAAAACACCACUUCAAAACCUAAGAUUAAUGGUGCAGAUUUGCUGCACUUUCUUGGCAAACUUUGAGCCAUUAGAUGGCUCUUAAUAUUUCCAACUAAGAUGAGUUGGCAUUGUACUGAAGGGCUUAAAGGGAAAGAAAAAUGCGAGAAAAUGGGUGGAAAUGGGAUCCAAAUUACCGCUGCAAAAUCUUGUACUGUUUCUGCUUCUUCUUCUUUGUACGAAGAUUGCGCGCGCGUGGGCUCCAUUUUUUUUCUUUUGAUUUGAUUUGAUUUUGUUGAUUUUUUUUUUGAUUUUAUUUUUGCUUUGUCUUUUCUUUCCUUUUUAUUUUUUUCGAUUUUUCUAAAAAUGAUUUUCCUCACGAAAUAGAAACAAAACAAAAUAAAUUAAAAUUAACUAAAAGGAACAAAAAUAGGAAAAAUAAAAAUGGUAAAAUUUUGGUGUCUACAUCUACAAUAUUCUACAUCACCACUGAAUCUAUCACAGUCAUUUUCUGAUCCAGAAUCAAUAUCAUCUCUUCCAUGUCCUUCAUCUUCAAUAGGCUAUUGACAGCUCCUUUCUUCUUGUUGUGUAUUUGUUUCUCCAACAUGCUACUGGUUAUUACAUGCUUGUGCAUCACCACUUUGUCCUCCAAUUGAGGAACCUACAUGCUGCUGCUUAUUAUUAGACGCUUGUGCAUCACAACUUUGUCCUCCACUUAAGGAUCCUACAUGUUGCUGCUCAUGAUUAGAUGCUUAUGCAUCACCACUUUGUUCUCCACUUAAACCAUCUACAUCGAACUUCUGAUCUUUAAAAGCCCGUGCAUCACUACAAUCUACAUUAUGCUGCUGGUUCUUGGCUGUUCUUCUACCAGCACUUUGUCCUCUAGUUGAAUCCCUAAUGAACAGCAUCCUCUUAGGAACUAGAUGAAAAAAGAUUCCCCUACUAUACUACCCUCCUCAUCCAACGAUGUUAUCAAAACACCACUCUUCUUCUGCUGUGCUGGUUGAACCACUAUGGGAGACUUGCAACUAUUAAUUUUUUCAGCUGUUAGAUGGUUACAAUAGACUUCCAUUACCUUGUACUUAUAAGUCCAAGCACAAAAUUUGUUAACAUCAUCAUCGGUGCACAACUCUCUGUAAGGAUCGAAGACAACCUAAGAGGGGGAUGAAUUAGGUGUUUAAAAAAUUAGCCAAGAUAUGAGUCACUUUAUGAGAACUUGCCCUCUUUUUCUAAAGGACCACACAAUGAAGCAAUAGAUGAAAAAGCACAAGUGCUUGGGAGUAGAAGAGAUAGACAAUUUAUAUUCCAAGACAGUAAAUAAAAGGAUAGAAUAGCAAACCAAGUUUCAAACUCCACUUGAGUUUGAAGACCACUUUAUAUAGCAAGCUUCUUCAAGUUGAUCAACUUACAACCAAUCUCUUGUGUACAAAGGAAGGAUCACUUCCUCCUCGCCCCAUGCCGCACUUGGUCAAACAAGGAAGUUUUACUAUCACUCGGAUAACCCUCACAAAUUUACAUUAUUGAAGAAAUAGAAACACACUUGAAAAACUUAUCGAAAGUUACACAGCUAAGAGUACAAAUCUUCUUUAAAGAUUAUUCUCACACUUGAAUCACUCAAGAUCUGAUGUAGUCUCAAUGUGCAAAGUUAUUUUUAAGUGGUUGGCUUUGUUCUAUUUAUAAGAGAUCAAAAAAUUCUUCAAUUAAUGCUACCAACGGACAGAAGGUAGCUGAAGAGUCAACUAGCCGUUGGUGGUGUCGGACAUCCGGUAGGCUAGUUUUCUGCGUCCGAACGCAGGUAAAGAGUUCAAGAAGUUUCCUUAAAAUGUUUAGGACGUCCGGUACCUUUAGAAUAUGCGUCCGAAGGUAUGAUGCAAAACUGGGAAUUCUCCUUCAAUUCGUUCAGACGUUCGGUGCCUCCAAUAUUUUGUGUCCGAAGUGUCGCAACGUUUGUCGGACGUCCAGUACUCAGGUGUUGUACGUCCGAUCGGGGUCAAUGAGCUUAGAGGACUUGGCUUAUCAUUUUCGGACGUCCAAGAGUGGGUUCUUCAUGCGUCCGAAGUUACUCAAUGGUUGUCGGACGGCCGAUGCAGUCUUUAUGUGCGUCCAACAGCUAUUUCAGCAAAUGUUAGCCUUUGAACCUGUUCUGCUCCAAUUCUGAAAAGAUCUAAUCAAAGAAUAUUAGUAACAUCAAUUUGUUUUGUAAUCAUCAAAAGUUACGGAUUGAGAUAAACAAUUUCCCCCUUUUUGAUGAUGACAAAACAAUGGAUGGAGUAAAAAGGUUUUAGGUACAGCUCCCCUAACUUAAUGCAUUCAAGGAGUAUUCACAACUUUCCUUCAGAAUAAUGUUCACUCCCCCUUAAAAUGACUCCCCUUCACAUAUAGAUUACAUGUCAUAUCCAUAUCUCCCCCUUUUUGUCAUCAUUGAAUCAACCAGUAAAAUUAUCCAUAUUACCAACAAUGUGGUCAUUCAUUGGCUCAUCAAACUGAAUUUAGCAACACAGCAGAACAACAAUAUCAUUCAUCCAGAAUCAAAACCAAAACAUUAUCAACCAGAAACUAAUAUUUGCAGAUAAAUUGAAAUAAGCAACAUUCAACAUAAAGGAUAACUAAAUAGUUUUACAGACCAAUAGAGGAGUAAAAUCCUUAAGACAGAGCACACCAAAUAUUUUUAAGUGCAAAAGAUGCAAAAACCUACUAUGAACUAUUAUUCUAAUCAUGAAGUGCAGUAGCCUAGUAGUGCCUAUAUGGUGAUUUUAGAGGAUCCAGACCUUCUUCUAGCCAGGAGAAACUGGGUAGGGUCUUCUUCCUCGAUGUCCUCAUCCUCAUCAUCAUCAUCCUCUUCAGUCUCUUCUUCAGUUGCCGGAGCUUUUCCCUUGUCCUGUGGUUGAGAACUGGAGGCACGGUACUCUGGGGUAGUCUCAGUGGUUGGCUCAGUUCUAGGCUCCUUUCGGUGUACAUUUUCAUUUUCUGGAGGAAUGGGAGGUGUCGCGCCCCACUUUUUGAUGUGGUGUGAAAGUAGUGUAUGUGAUCGUGUGUGAAAAUGAAAAUAAAAGGCCGUGGGACUUGAUAAUGCGACGAUUUGGCCAAUCAAAGUUCAAAAAGGGAUUUUAAUGGAAAAUGGAGUCGCCACUUGGUAUAGAGUUAGGGUGUACCAAGUCACCCAAAAAGUGAUUUUUGAAAAGCAAAGUAAACAAACCCCUUUUUAAGAACUUUUAGGUCUACAUAACCAAAGAAAGGGAUCGGGGGUCACAUUUGAUAAGGGAGAAGGCAAAGGCAAAGCCUAAGGCACUCCCUUACCCUAGCAAAAGCUAGUUGCGUGACUUAGCCCUUCUUUUCCUAAUUUCUUCUACCCAAAGUAUGUUUCGCAUGUUGGAUAUGACUAAUGGAUAUGAAAAAGAAAUGCAAUCCUAAAUCUAAAAUGUCUCUUACGAGGCUUUUUGGUCCCAACCACAUGAGUUGUGGUGGCCAAUAGAAAAAGUCCUCAUAGAGGUCGCGAAUGAUGCAAAUGAAGACUCAAAUACGAGUGCAAGUGUGAAAAUGCAUGAAAACGUGCAUGUGUGCGAAUGUAAGACAAGUGCAUGUGUGCAAAUUGGGAAAAUGAAGGUGCUUGUGUGCAAGCGGAUGAAAAUAUGGAACAAUAGUAGUAAAUGCAUAUAAGUGUAAUUGGGUGCAAUUUGUGAGAUAGAAAAUAAAUGAGUGAUAGGGGAAGUGUGUGAACAUGGCAAGUGGAUUACGAAAAAUAUAAGUAGUGAGAGAAUGUGGAUAAAGAAAGUGAGAAAGUGAUAUGAUAAGAAUGAGAGUGCAUGAUCCUAGAGGAAUGCAUCAAGUCGGGUACGGGAAUGACUCCUAAUUGCACGACUUUAAUUUUCCCUUUGAUUAGAAGGAAGAACUAGCGUGCUAAGGCUAUUUUGUAGCCACACUCGCUCGUUUCCCUUAUCGAAAGGGGGCUCUCAAGCAAAUGUACCCUAUAACUAGCAUGAGGAUGCAAAAGCCUAAAAUGAAGGGGAAAGGGUUGGAGGGGCAUGCCAAAUGCUAGAAAAAACUAAGAAAAAUGCAUGAAAUGUAGUGGACAUGCAAGUAUGAACUAGCGAGGGAGCGGCCUAUUGGGUCUAGCAUUGGACUAGCCCUUUCUAUGAAUUCCUACUAGCGUUGGACUAGUGGAAAAACGGGACAAUGAGCCACAACUAGCGUUGGACUAGUGUGGUGACGUGCAUUCAUCCAUUACAUUCAUCUAUGAUUAUAGAAAGCAAGUAGACAUGCCAAUCACCUAUAAACACAUAGCACAUAACACUUAGCAUGCUCGACUAGAUGCAAAAGCCUAAUAAAGCAAAUUAACACGUAGCAACAAAAGCAAGCAAUCAAUCUAAUGAGCCUAUCACAUUUGCUAACUAAAUCAAAAGGGGAAGGGAAAAAUGGACAAAAUGCUCUCCAAGCCCUAUCUAUUACAAGCCAAGAGGUGUACACAUACCCCAUAAAAAACUUAAUAAAAGCAAAAGCAAAUGAAAUAAAUGAAAGGAAUUAAAGAAAGGCAAGGAAAACAAAGUAGACAUGCAAUUCUCACUUAGCACAUUGGGUCACGUAGGAGAGACAAAAAGGAUAAAAGAAGUUGUACCUCCCUUGAAAUGGAGCCCUAAUGGGGUAAGUUACUUAUUUACCCUCCAAAAUAAAAGAAAAGGUCAAGGCAUCAUUUUAAUUGAGAAAAUUAAAGAAAGUAUGCAAACACAAGCUCACUUGGUCAGAAAGCCCUUAAAAUCAUGAAUUAAAAGCAAUUUAAACAAAGCAAGGUGGCUAAUUGAAUCAAACAAGCAAUGAAGUUGCAAAAAUUAAAAUUACCAAGGAUCAAAUUGAUGAAAUUAUUCAAUUGAUUGGGCCCUAGUGGAACAAAGGGAGACUUGGGAGGCCAAAGCGUAAUUUUUCAGAAAUAUUUUUUCAUUCAAAUCCAUGCAAAAGUGGCGUGAAAGCGUUUUACAACAAACAUUUCUGCUGAAAACUUCCUGCAACUCGGCACUCCAUAAAAUCCAGCUUUCAAAUGCCAUCAAAUCCAAACAAAACUCCCACACAAUCCUCUCACUUUGCAACACGAAAACUUGUAGAUUUAAACACCAAAACUCGGACAAAAGAACAUGCAAAAUCUGGACAGUUCAAGCAGCAAAAAAACUUCAGGCAUCUGAAACUUUCCUCUACCGUUUUCUGCUGCGAAAUUGCAGCUAGGGAGCAAACCAGAGAAAUUGCAACUAUCAUUAACACCAGAUUUAAAUGGACAAAAAAAAUGAUGAAACCAACUUGUGAGCUAUUGCGGGAAUAAAAACAUGAAACUAAUGCAGCUUCAAGCAAAAUAACGUGAGAAAACUUCUGCAACUACUUCAUAUACUCUAGCAACCAAGAAAGAAAAACCGCUGCCUUCUUUCCUCAAACCUAGAUUUCUUGAGUACAACUUUGAUUAGAUGUCUCCAAAUCAACAUCAUAGAUUCAGACUAAGCAACCAAUGUCAUAGCCACCACCAUUCAAACAAGCAGAAAACUUAGCAAGAUCUAGUGCAAGAAAAAUCUGGAUACACGCAAAACUGGUUCGACAAAGCUGGUUGCUUAUUUUCAACAAAUAUUCUAGCAUGAUUCAAAAGUUUUAGACUACACAGGCAAACUCCAUUCACUCAUCCAAUUUUCUCUCAUCAAGUAGGUAAUGGAAUCCAUUUGGUGGGCUGCUACGGGAAAGAAAAACAACAAAACAAGAGCAUGAAAUGCAGCUUCCUUUCAUUCAACCAAAGAUUCCAAGCUCUUACCUUAACAGAAUCCAAUGAUAAAACACUUCAUGGGCUGGAUUAAGGCAAUAAAAAAUGACCCAAAGCACAGAGCAACAGGAGAGACCCCAGAUUUCAUGAACAAAUUUGAGCAAGACUCCAUUUUUCUUGAAAAAUUCUGACCGGACACUUCCAGACCAAAGAACAAACAAAAACAAAACAAUCUGAUUGCACCUUUUGCUGCAGCUUUUCCUGAUGCUACCAAGUUUUAACAAAUCUCAUGCAUCAAUUGUUAACGCCAAAUCCUAAACAAGCGAACAGCCUCAAACCCUUAUUAAUCUUCCUAAACCCAAAUUGUAAAGACAAACAAAGUACUAGGAAUGGACUUCCAACCCACGGAUCAUAAGCAUUCCACUUACGGAGGAAAGAAAAGCAUGAAAGUUGACAGCUUUUUGGAUUCAUAAGUUUUCAAUCACACACAUUCAAAAUACACAUCAUAACCCACUUAUAAUCACAAGACCUGGCCUUUUUACUCAAGAAGAAAAAGAAUCACUUACAGUGUACGAGCUUUUCUUGAUGAAGGUCCGCAACUGUUGAUGGCGUGAGGGUUAGCAGUCCAGUGGCUCUCUUUUCCUCAGCCGUAGCUUUCUUCCUUUGCCUGUAACCCUUUUAUCCUUUUCUCCAGCUUUCGGUUUUUCCUCCUCAGCCGCAAGUCUGACUUUAUCUCGUCCCUUUUGCCGUCGCUUCCAGUUUUCUUGAUCUCGCUCACCAAAACCUCUCUCGGCCGUCACGUUCUCUCUCCCUCAGGUUUAUAGCUUUCCAAAAAAACUUAGAACCUCAGCUCUCGUUUUGUUUUCAGUUUUCUCCUUAGCUGUCUCUUUCUCUUGGCCUUUCCAGAUUUUUCCAGCCGUCAAACUCUCUGUUUUCUAUCUCUCAAAGUGGUUCUCCCCUCCUCUUGCUCUCGGUUCCCCCCUUUUUUCAGAAACCCCCGCAGCCUCUUUUUUUUCAGCCGUCCACUCAAAACCUCUCUAUCUCUCCCCUUUGCGGCUGCUGUUUUCUUCCCUUUUAUAUGAACUCCCCAAUCUCCUAAACCCUCACACCCAAUAGUGAGGAUGAAAGGCCUGCUCUAUCUUAAAAUCCAGCCCUCCAAUGGGGCAUACGUGACUGUCCUUUGCAAGCUGCGAAAAUACACAGCUUGCAUUCUGCGGGAAUAUUUUUUUUUUUUAAAGUAAUUUAACAAAAUAGUAAUAAAAUUAAAUGAAAACCAACAAUUUAAUUAACAUCGGAUAAAAAUGAAUAAACUAGAAAUAAUAAAUAGCAAAAAUUGCAAUUUUUCAUUUUUCCUUUUUUUCUUUUCAUCAUUUUUCAUUUUUCAUCAUUUUUCUCUUUUUCCUUCUUUUUUCAAGAAAACAUUGAAUUUGAAUAAAAACAACUAAUUAAAAUACAAUAAGAGACACGAGACAGGAAUCAACCAAAAUAAAUCUAAAAUUGAACAAAUAAAUCCAAAAUUAAACUAAUUUAAAAAAAUAAAAUUCGAAACCAAAAAUUUGGUGUCUACAGGAGGUACAAGCAGAUUCCUUUUGACAACGAAGGUAACUUGUUGUUCAGAAGUCAUGAUCAUCAUCAAGCCAUCUUCAAAAAGCAGGAUAUGUUGUUUGAAGUCAUCAAGCAGAGAGAUGACCUCAAGAUUGGAUGAAGUAUACAUAGAGGCUGACCUUCUAGGAUGAAUGGUGAAGGGUGUCACAUACAUAGACUGGUCUCGAGGAAUCCUAGGGGUUACAGGAGUUUCAUGAAGAUUUUUUCUCCUAAACUCAGAGACAGUUUCUUUGUAAAACCAAUGACCCUCAAAAAAUUUCAAAUUUUUCCUUUCAAAGUAAGCCUUUGAAAACACAGUUGAUGCACUUUCUUUUGGAGAUUUGCCAGUAAAGAAAAUUUCAAAAUGAGUAAAAAUAGGAGUCAGAAAUUUUUCAUAGGAUAAUUUCCUACGGUUGUCAGUACUGAUUUUGAGCAAAAAUUUGCACAUGACAAAACCAAAAUCAAUUCGAAUGUUUUCAAGAAAACAGUAGAACAUAUAAAGUUUCAUUUUGUUUGCAUCAGUUCUGUGACCAUCAGUGGGCACCAACAGAUUUGAAAUUACGGUGAAAAUGAUCAGGUUUUGAGGACUAAGAUCUUCCAAUCUUGCCUCAGCAGAAGUAUUAAAGUGAGACUGAAUAUAGGUCAUCAAUUUUGCAACAUGAAAGUGAUGGUAUACAAAGGAAAAUUCUUCGUAAGAAAAGAAAUUUACAAUUUUGCCUUUAAAAUCAUCUUCAAUUUUGGUUUCUAAAACAGAGUUGACAAUUUCAGGAUUCAGCUCUAUGUUAACAGAAUUGACACGUGAAAUGAGAUCAGUAUGUGAUUUACCCUUUUUAAGGUUUGCAAAAAAUUGAUGAAACGUGUCAGGAUAGUAGGUGUUUGGAAUGGUUAAAAGAUGGGUCUAUUUUUGGAAUUCAAAAAGGUUGAGAACAGAUUCAAGGUCAAGCUUACGGAAUUUGUAGGGAAUGAUGGUCCUUUGAGUGAUGAAGCCUUUCUGCGAGAUCCAUUCAAACCUCUCCCUAGCUUCAUCAUCGAUGAACUUGGGCAGGGGAGUUGGUUCAAUAGCAGUUUGGGUCUCUGGUUGUUCAUUUUCUGGAUGCUUUCUUUUUCCACUGCGCUGAGUAGUUGGUGCAGUACCCUGGACACCAGACAUUGUCCUUGGUGACUUCCUGGUAGAUGGUUCAUCAGUCUGCUGUUCCUCAGCAUUUUUCUCUGCAAACUGCUGAUCCCUCUGGGAAACAGCAGUUUGCCUUCCUUUGGGUUGAGCAAUGCUCUUCUUUUUGGCAGUCCUUUUUCUUUGCUUGGGUGAUUUUGUGGUGGUUACAUCUACAUUGAUAAGCUGCUCCAGUUCCUCUUCAUUGCCACUUACUGGAUGCCCUUCAGAUUGAUGCUCCUUCAUCUGCUCAUCGGAUGGUUCAACAGAUGGCUCUCUGGUUUGCGCAUUCUAUUUUUUCCUUGCAGAUUGCUUAGUUUUUCCACCACAAUUUUCAGUUUUCUUUUUGGGUGAUUUGAUGGAAGGUUCGAUAACUUGAACAUUUUCAUCCUCCUCAUCACGAAACUUGAAGGUGCGUCCGGCACUCACGGAUCCUCCUCUAAUCUUCACCAUGAUUGCAAUGCAGUGUGGUUUUGUUGUGUAAUGUGAUACAAAUAAGUAUCAAACGAUGAGGAGUGUAGUAUGAAUUAUAGUGGAUGCACGAACUGUCCACAGAGGGAGAAAUUUUUGUACUUAGGGUUUCGGGUAAGAAUUGGGAUUUAUAGUGCAGUUGGCGGUUGGGGGAAGUUAUGAUGCACAAUAAACUCGCAAUAGGUAUGUGAAGGUGUCGGUCAGAGUGAUUUCUUGAUACUUGUUCCAAGAAGAGAUGAAUUUGAAUUUUGAAAUUGAGGGAAUAUGAAGAGUUGCGUCUGAGACAAAAGGGUAAGAAUGAACUGAAUAACGCAGAGGGCUUCCUUAUAAGACGCAAUUUUUGAGUGUCGGACGGCCGAACGAAGUAGAGCGUCCGACACCUCCGUCCAAACCAAAAUUUUCUGGGUAAAUGAUCAAGAAUACUAUCGGACGUCCAUUCUAACACAUCGGAUGUCCGAUAAAGAGUGACCAGAGAAUUUUUAGAGUAUUUUUUCUGAAACGCCCAAUUUUGUUCUCAAAGACACAAAUUGAUCCAGUGGUAAGGCUUUUGUGAGAAUAUCAGCAAUUUGAUCUUUUGAACAGACAUAUUGAACACAAAUUUCACCCUUAUGGACAAGAUCGCGAAUGAAAUGAUGCUUUAUGUCUAUGUGCUUUGUCCUAGAAUGUUGGAUGGGAUUUUUUGUCAAAUUUAUUGCACUAGUGUUAUCACAAUACAUAGGCACACAAUCAUACAUCAAUCCAAAAUCGUUCAAUGUGUUUUUCAUCCAUAAUAAUUGAGCACAACAAGCUCCAGAAAAAACAUAUUCAACUUUAGUUGUAGAUAAUGAAAUAGCUUUUUGUUUCUUGCUAAACCAGGAUACUGAGCAAUUUCCUAGAAAGUUACAUAUACCUGUUGUACUUUUUCUAUCAAUCCUACAACCGCCGAAAUCAGCAUCAAAGAAUCCACACAAAGGAAGUUCAUGACACUUAGGAUACCAUAGACCAAAAUUCAAGGUUCCUUUUAGAUAUCUAAGAAUUUUUUUUUACUACAUUUAAAUGAGAUUCCUUUGGACAAGACUGAAAACGAGUACAUAAGCACACAUCAAACAUGAUAUCUGGUCUACUAGCAGUUAAGUAAAGCAAACUACCAAUCAUACAUCUAUAUUUCUUUUCAUCAACUUUUGUACCUUCUUCAUCCAUGUCAAACUUGGUAGAUGUGCACAUAGGUGUUCCGACCUGCUUUGAAUCCUCCAUUCCAAAUCUUUUAAGCAACUCCUUGGUGUAUUUUGUUUGGUUGAUGAACGUUCCAUCUUGGGCUUGAACCACUUGGAGUCCAAGGAAGAAAUUUAAUUCUCUCAUCAUGCUCAUUUCAAACUCUUUUUGCAUGAUAUUGGAAAAAUCCUUGCACAAGCUCUCAUUAGUAGCACCGAAUAUAAUAUCAUCCACAUAUAUUUGCACAAUUAAAAGAUCACGUGAACUUUGCUUAGUGAAAAGAGUAGUAUCCACAAUACCUCUUUUAAAACCAUUUUCAAUCAAAAAAUCACUCAAACGUUCAUACCAUGCUCUUGGAGCUUGUUUUAGUCCAUACAAAGUUUUUGAGAGUUUAAAUACAUGAUUUGGAUAAAUUUCAAUUUCAAAACCAGGAGGUUGAUCAACAUAUAUUUUUUGAUCAAUAAAUCCAUUUAAGAAAGUACUUUUAACAUCCAUUUGAAAUAAUUUAAAGUUCUUGAAACAUGCAAAGGCCAAAAACAUUCUAAUUGAUUCCAGUCUAACUACGGGUGCAAAUGUUUCAUCAAAAUCAAUUCCUUCUUCUUGAGUAUAUCCCUUGGCUACAAGUCUGGCCUUAUUUCUUACUACCUCACCUUUGUCAUUCAUUUUGUUUCUAAAAACCCACUUUGUGUCAAUGAUAGAAUGAUCUUUUGGUCUAACAACUAAUGUCCACACCUUGUUCCUUUCAAAUUGAUUUAACUCCUCUUCCCUAACUAAAAUCCAGUUCUCAUCUUUCAAAGCAUCAACAAUAUUUUUGGGUUCAAAGUGUGAAACUAAUGUAAAAUUAUCCAUUAGUUGUUUAGAGGAGGAACGAGUUCUGACCUUCUCGGAUGGAUCACCAAUGAUGAGCUCUUAGGGUGGUUUUGAGCAAAUUUUCAAGCUCUUGGAAGAUCGUUAGGUGUACUAGUGUCUCUGUCACUGUCUUCCCUUGCUGGACUGUCUUGAGUGUCAUCUUCCUUUGAAUCAUUUUCUGGUAAAACAAUGCCUUAGUCAGCGAUUGUGAGUUUCUUUAGUUCUUCUUGAAUACCUGCAUCAUCAUCUUCACCACUACUUAUGAAAAUGUCACCAUUAGAUUCAUCAAAAGUGAUAUGUAUAGCUUCCUCUAUAACCAAAGUCCUUCGAUCGUAGACUCUAAAACCUCUCUUAUUCUCACAAUAUUCCAAGAAAAUUCCCUCAUCAGAUUUUUUAUCAAACUUUCCGAGAUGUUUAAAAUGAAGCAUUUGCAAUCAAAGACUUUAAAGUAUCCAACUACAGGCUUUUUAUCAAACAUCAGCUCAUAGGAGUUUUUGUUCAAGAUUGGUCUUAAAAGAACUCUAAUCAUGGUAUAGCAAGCUGUAUUUAUAGUUUCAACCCAAAAGUAUUUUGGUAAAUUACACUCACUUAGUAUGGUUCUAGCAGCCUCUUGAAGAGUUCUAUUCUUUCUUUCAACAACCCCAUUUUGUUGGGGAACUCUUGCAAUUGAAAAUUCAUGUGUAAUACCAUUGUUGUUACAAAAUUCUGAAAAGCCACAAAAACGAAAUUCUGAGCCAUUGUUACUUCUGAUUUUGAUGAUUUUCAAUCCAAUCAGAUUCUGAACUUUUGUAAAUAGUGAAACAAAGUUUUUGAAAGCAUCAUCUUUGUGUGCAAGAAACAUCACCCAAGUGUAUCUAAAAUAAUCAUCAACAACAACAAAGCAAAAUCUUUUGCCACCUAAACUGGUAGUUUGUGUAGGACCAAAUAAAUCAAGAUUUAAAAGUUCUAGAGACUUUGUAGUAGAAACACAUUUCUUGGGUUUAAAAUACACUUUGAAUUAUUUUUCAAAUUGGCAAGCAUCACAAAUUCUGUCCUUUUCAAAUUUGAUAUUUGACAGCCCUCUAACAAGUUCCUUUUUGGAAAUUUCUUUUAGCAGAUCCAUAUUGAAAUGACAGAGCCUUCUUUGCCACAGUCAGGGGUCCUCAUUUGCUACUUUGAGACAACUAAGGCCAGAGGAAUCAACUUUUUUAAGGAUAACUACAUAAAUAUCAUUAACUCUUUUUCCUUUGAAAACAGUGUUGAACUUUGAGUCAAGAACAAGGCAUUCAUACUUUUUAAAUAACACAAACAGAUUCCUAUCACACAAUUGACUAACACUUAACAAGUUAUAGCUCAAAUUGUCAACUAAAAGAACAUUGUGAGCAAAGGUUUGACCAUUCUUACCAACAUCACCAAUUCCAACAGUUUUGGCUUUGUUAUCAUCUCCAAAUGUUACCUUUCCGCUUGCUUUUGGUUUGAGAUUGAUGAACUAUGAUGGAUCACCAGUCAUAUGUCUUGAGCAUCCACUGUCUAUGAACCACUUUGAUUCCUUAACAAUGUUCACCAGGUUCACCUACACAAAAAUUUACAAGAUAAUAUUUGGUACCCUUUAUUUUUUAGGUUCUUGAGAGUUAGUAUUAUGUCUAACCAUCCACAUGUAUCUCAUGCCAUUUUUCAUAUUUUUUCUAACAUAACAAUUAUUUUUUAUGUGGCCAAAUUGACAACAGAAUCUACACAUAGUUAAUGAGUUAUUCAAAUGAACAGGUUUAAUAAAUCUGAUUUGCCUUUUCCUAUAGAUGGUAAACUCAUUUGCACUAUGAUUCAACCUUUUCUGAUGAGUACCAAAAUGAGCUUUUGUAUCAUUCCUUUGAAAACAAUUUUGUUUCUUAUGUUGAAGCAUCUGACUAAGAUCAUCCAUUCUUCUUUUCAAGCUACUUUGUUCAUUUUUGAGCAUGUCACAGAAGAUUGUCUUUCUAUCAAGUUCAACAUGCAAAUCAUUUUCAAUUCUUUUCAGGUUCUCAUUUUCAUUUUUCAGACAUUUAUUUUGUCGAAAAAGGUUUGCAUUGUCUUGAAUCAGAAAGUUACUCUUUUGUUUUAGUUCCUUGUUUCUAACAUAGGAUUCUUUCAAACUGUUAUGCAUUCUUUCCAUAAAAGAGUUAACAUCAUCAUCAAAUUCGUUAUCACUAUCAGUUUGAGAGUUACAAGUAGUUAACUCUUCAUCACCAAUGGCCAUGAAAGCCAUUUGGGCAGAUUCCUCUUCUUCUUCGACUUCACCUUUUAAAUUGCAGUCAUUCCAGGUGAUCUGAAAAUUGUUAAAUUUUGGUUUUCGUUCAACCUUGCUUUCCUUCCUUUUCUUUAUUGUACAUUCAUUUGCGUAGUGUCCAAAUUGGCAACAUUCAAAGCACUUAUCAGUUUGCUUUUUAUUGAGCUCUAGCUUCCCUUUGUUUCUCAAGUUGUUGAAUUGAUUUGGAAAUGAAUUGCUGGGUCCACCUUUUCUGAAUCUCCUCUUAUUGAGUAUUCUUUUGAAGUUUUUCGUGAUGAGUGCAAUAUCACUGUCAUCACCUUCCAUGUCAUCUUCAUCUAAGGAGGCUGAAUCAUCUUCAUCUUGUGAGACUUUUAGAGCAAUACACUUUCUCACCUUUGUAUCUUCUUCCUCCUGCACCUUGAACUUGAGUUUCAGUUCAUAAGAGGUUAGAGAAUUAAUAAGAGAUUCAAUGGAUAAGGUAUUUAGAUCUUUAACUUCCUCAAUGGUAGUCACUUUACUCUCCCAAUCCUUGGAUAAGGCAUUCAAAAUUUUUCUGUUUUUCUCACCUAGAGAGUAAUCCUUUUCAAGUAUUUCUAAGUUCUUAAUAAAAUCAUUGAAUGUGCAAUACAUCUUGUCAAUGUUUUCAUGAGGUUCCAUCUUAAAGGAUUCAUACUUAGUGAUCAGAAUGGACUUCUUUUGUUCUAUCACAUUCUCACUUCCUUCAUGGAUUUCUCUGAAUUUAUCCCAAAUCUCUUUUGCAGAUCUACAGCCUUUGACUCUAAUAGACUCAUUUGAAUCUAAAGCACUGUAUAAAACAUUCAUAGUCUUGGCAUUUAAGGUAAGAUGAGUUCUAUCAUCACCAGUCAACUCACUCCUUGUUUUUGGUCUUGGCCUAUGAGUAACUUUAUCAAUAAUAGAGGUAUCAUAUGUGUGACGCCCCGAAAAGUAUGAGUGUGGGAACCCGGAAAUUUUCUAAUUUCUAGGGUUUAUUUUAUUUAAUCGCCCGCCUUUUCUACAUUUUCUUUAUUAGAAAAAUUCCCCAGAUAAAUUUUAUGAGCAAAAAUAGUUUUAAAAUGAUUUUUCUAGUAUCGGUUAGUUUUUGAGAAAUUACGAGCGUAUUUUAGACGUGGGACCCGCUAGUGCGGUAAAUGCAUUAUAUUUUUGACAACUUGUUGGAAUUUUGUAUUAAGUGAUAUUAUUUUACAAGGUGUUAAGAUAUUUGUAUUGGAGAGACAAAAAGAUAAGUUUUAAACCAAAAGGUGACAUGUGUCACCUUCUUAUUCAAAGUUGGACUUUGACUAAAUUGCAUCACCUUUACUAAACCUCAAAAAUUGACCAAUUUCUCUCCAUUUUAAGCUUGUCUUGGCCGAACCUCUUGGAGCAAAAAUACAAGAGAAGCCUUUCUUGUCUACUUCUAUUUCUUGCUCAAUCUUCAAAUCCAACCAAUAAAACUCCAAAUCAUUCCAUAAAAUCUCUUUGCUAAGUGGUUUUGAGGUGUUUUGUGGAGUUGUUUGGAAAGCUAAGGUGACUAGUUGCUCUAUCUCUUGUAUUGCUAAGGUGAGUUGUGAAGAACCACUCUCCUCCCUUAAUUGAUGCUCAAUUCAUGAUUGGUGGUGGUAUAAGAUGCACUUUUAUGGAUUAUUUCUUGAUUUGUGGUUGAAGUGAUGAAGUUUUAUUAUUUUUGGGGAUUUUUCUGUUUUAAUAUGAACAUGAUUGUGUGGCUAUCUAUGAUGAUUGGAAAUGGUAUAUAAUGAUUCUAGAAGGUGGAAAAAGUGGACAAUUGCAAUCAAUUUCUGUUUUGGAAGAAAUUUCAGAAAAUUAGGUUUUGUGAAGGAACAUUCUGCCCGAAUUUUUAGCUCCUAGUUAGAUACCGAAUUGGCCUUGGCUUAAAACAUGAAAGUUGUAGGGAAUGACAUUUUAGAGGUUCCUACAAAAUUUCAGGUCAAUCGGAGUAGUGUGGAAUGAGGAAAGUCGAAAUUACUAUUGCUGUUCUGGUUUUACCCGAAUGUAAGAAUUGCGCCUGUAAUUGGUUGUUUUGGCUGGAAUUGCUUCCGUAUUGGUUGUUUAGGUCUUCUGAUUAAAUGUAGCCCUAUUUCUUAGCUUUCAGCUGGUUUUGGAAUUUUUGGAUUUGGACUUGGAUAGCCUGAUUUAUGAUGUUUCCGCUAGAAUACGUUCUGUGAAUCUAUUUUUGUGAUUCUGGUAUGGUAUCUUGCAUUUUUGACCUAGUUACACUCGAAACUGGAUUGAGUGAUCUUCUGAAAUAUUGUAGCCCUAUCUCUUAGCUUCGAAACGGUGGGUCUUGUACCUUCAUCCGACAAUCGUAGGGCCUUUGGUACCAUUACCGUAAAAUGACGUCAAAAACUAUUUUUCUGGUUUUGAGCUUAACUUUCAUUUCCGGACUUUUCCCUAGCUUGACUUGUACUAGUACUACUUGGAGCUUGCUGAAUGGCUAUUGGAUGAACUUGUUGUUGUGUGUGUACCUUUGGGGUUGGAAUGAGGAAAUAAUGAAGCCAUGAUGGCUGGAAAAGUUAGCAAAUUCAGGGGAAGUGCUGUCCGAACUUUGAAGGGAUUUGUUUGCAUUGGGUUUGUGAUCUAAGGCUUGGAUUUGAGCAAGGCAAUGUUAUAUGAUGGAUGAUUUCUGAGCCAUGGAGGUGAGUGACCCUAAACUAUUUUCAAAGUACUUGUGAAAUGUUUCUUGCAUUAUUUAUUCGAUUGCAUAUCAUGCGUGCUUGCAUGUGGAUUCAUGACAUGAUUUGGCUUCAAUGAGUUCUGGGAAAGUCUUGUGCUGGACACCAACGUCUCCACCUUGUUUAUGGUUCAUGUUCAUGUUUAUCUGGAGCUCAAAAAGGGGCUCCCUCUCAAUGUUAAUGUUAAAUGAUCUAUUUGAGCGUUGGGUGUUCAAGUGCAAUGAUUUCACUAGCUCACGAGAGCAAUAAACGUACAUUUGAUCUCUGAAUCAUGACAUCAUCGAAAUGAUCGAAAUGCAACAUUGUGAAAUAUAUUUGAUUACUGAUUUUACUGGUUACUCGCUGAGCUUCUAACUCACCCCAAAAAUAUUUUAUUCCCCUCCACAGGGCUCGUGGCGAAAGAAGGACUUGUAGUACUUAUUCACGUGUCUGGAUGGCCUAUAUCUUGUACAGUUUGGAUUUAGAAUCAUUUUAUGUAUAGUUUGGGGAAUUGUUUCCGCUUCGCUUUUGAUAUGUAAUUAUUGGAGACUUGGAUGUAAUAUUUGAGAUUUAUAUUGUAAUAUAUUUGAGGAGUUUAGUGAACGACUGAGUCCCGGCGAGAGUUGGGCAGGCGACCCGCCGAACCCACUGGUUCGCCUUAGGGGAGGUGGGGCCGUCACAAUAUGGACCUUCAUUGACAAUAAACCACAACUCAAUAUCAAUAGAUUGUAAGAAAAUAAUCAUCCUCUCCUUCCAACUCACAUAAUUUGAUCCAUUGAACAUUGGGGGUCUAGUGAUGGAUUAUCCUUAAAAAAACAUGGCAUUGUUGGUUGUCAUUUUUACUCCAAAGCCGAUUGAGUUUAAUCUCUAGGAGACCAAGCUCUGAAACCAAUUGUAAGGAUCGAAGACAACCUAAGAGAGGGGUGAAUAGGUGGUUUAAAAAAUUAGCCAAGAUAUGAGUCAAUUUAUGAGAACUUGCCAUCUUUUUCUAAAGGACCACACAAUGGAGCAAUAGAUGAGAAAGCACAAGUGCUUGGGAGUAGAAGACAUAGACAAUUUAUAUUGCAAGACAGUAAAUAAAAGGAUAGAAUAGCAAACCAAGUUUCAAACUCCACUUGAGUUUGAAGACCACUUUAUAUAGCAAGUUUCUUCAAGUUGAUCAACUUACAACCAAUCUCUUGUGUACAAAGGAAGGAUCACUUCCUCCUCGCCCCAUGCCGCACUUGGUCAAGUAAGGAAGUUUUACUAUCACUCGAAUAACCCUCACAAAGCUACACUAUUGAAGAAAUAGAAACACACUUGAAAAGCUUAUCGAAAGUUACACAACUAAGAGUACAAAUCUUCUUUAAAGAGUAUUCUCACACUUGAAUCACUCAAGAUCUGAGGUAGUCUCAAUGUGCAAAGUAAUUUUUAAGUGGUUGACUUUGUUCUAUUUAUAAGAGACUAAAAAAUUCUUCAAUUAAUGCUACCAAUGGACAGAAAGCAGCUGAAAAGUCAACAAGCCGUUGGUGGUGUCGGACGUCCGGUAGGCUAGUUUUCUGCUUCCGAACGCAGGUAGAGAGUUCAAGAAGUUUUCUUGAAGUGUUUAGGACGUCCGGUAUGUGACGACCCCGUCUCCCCCUAAGGCGAACCAAAGGGUUCGGCGGACCGCCUGCCCAACUCUCGCCAGGACUUACUCACUCACUACAGUUCUCAAUUAAAUUACAAUGCACAUCUCAAAUAUUACAUCAAAUUCUCCAUGAAUUACAUAUCACCAGCGAAGCGAAUACUAGUUUCCAAGCGUGGAACGUACACAUACAUUCGUUCAAUUCCAAACAUUCAUACAAUCCUAACUAUUACACAAGAGAAAUCUAAAAUUCAAACUAUACAGGAGAUAUUCAUCCAGUCAUACUAAUAACUCAUUACAUUCGCUUCCUUUGCCUCGAGCCCUGUGGAGGGGAAAAAAAUAUUUUGGGGUGAGAUAGAAGCUCAGUGAGUGUCCAAUAAAAUCAGUAAUCAAAUAAGCUUCACAAUAGUGCAUUUAAAUGAGAUUAUGAAUCAAUGAUCAAAUGUACGAUUAUUGCUCUUAUGAGCCAGUGAAAUCAUUGUACUUAGAACUCCAACGCUCAAAUAGAUCCAGUAAGUCAAACAGUACAAGGGAGCCAUUUGCUCCAAAUAAUCAGGGGUGGAGACGUUGGUUCUAAGCACACGAAUUUCAAGUACUCAUUUGAGCCAAAAUAUGUCAUGGUCCACAUGCAAGCACUCAUGAUAUGCAAGCGAGUAAACAAUGCAAGAAACAGUUCAUAAGUAACUUUGGAAAUAGUUUGGGGAUCACUCACCAACCACAGCUUAGGAAUCAUCCAUCACAGACAUUGCCUUGUUCAAGUCCAAACCCUAGAUCACAAUUAUCAUGUCAAACAAAAGGAAUUCUAAAAGCAUCAAGUUCCUAUCAUCCUUUGGCAUUUUAAUCACAAUUGAAGCUACACUUAUCCGAUCGAAAUGAAUCUUAUGGCGCUACGAAACUAAGACAUAUACCAACAUUUCUUAUGAAGACCUCCAAAGCCAAAUCAUACAUAUUCAUGGUCAAAAAAUCGAAUCUUAGAGAAAAAAAAUGGAAACUGUCCGUGAAACAGGGCUUAAGGGCAGUCAAGGGUAUUUCGGUCAAUUCACAAGCUACAAUACUCCAAUCGAUCUGAAAUUUUGCAGGUAGAUAGCUAACUCAUAUCUCUACAACUUUCAUGCUUUGUCCAACAGCUGGUUCGGUCUAAAACAUAGAGAAAUGUGCAGUCCAAGUUGAGUCCAGAAACAAGGUAAAAACUGAAAUUACUCUUCUAAACUAACCUUUGCAUAUAACCACAAUUACACAUACGAAUCAUAAGAUAUACCACACAUCUAAUUAGGCCACAAUACCCCUUCAAUAUGAGCCAAUUGAUAACUCCCAAAACUAAUCAUAAUUAAGCCCCAAUUCGAAACCCUAACAUUGAUAUUGACCUACACAAGUUGGAAUUUCCGUAGGCAAGUGAAACUAGCAUAUAUAACCUCAAUAUUUCACAUAACAAAACUAUCAAAUGCUCUCAAAGAUUGGACAGCAUUUCCCCUUAAUUGUCUUAUUUUCCAUCCUAUAAACAACACCAAUACCAUCUCAAUUCAACCACAUAUUCACAUACAAAUCAUAAGCUAUAAAACACACCUAAUUAGGGCCAGAACACUCUUAAAUCUUAACCAAUUAAGAGCUCAAUAAUCAACCAUAAUAAAGCCCCAAAUUUGAAACCCUAAAACUGAAAUUUUCCGCAAACAACCACAAUUAACACACAAAGACCCCAUUUGACACCAUAUCAAACUAUCAUUCUAUGGCCAACCAAUCAUUAUUAUCUAAAAUCAGAAAAAUUCACUAAUAAAUCAGAAAUUUAUCAAACUCUAUUUUAAAUCAUGAAAUCUUCCACAAAAUCACAUAUUUAGCUACUAUAAGUUACUAAUUUACCAUUAUUAGAACAAAAAGGGAAUUUUCCAAGUAAAGUACCUUACAAACUCAAGAAAGAUAAUAGCUUAGAGUUUUUUCUCCAAAAAUCACUCCACCAUAGCCUUUAUUCCUCCUUAGUAUACACUUGUACGGAGUAGUUUGUGAUUUCAACGGUUACAACUCAAGAUUUGAGCAAAGAUUGAAGCUAGAAAAUGAAGAAGUCUCUCUUGUUUUUCCUCUCUAGAGAGCCAUGUCAAGAAGGAGCAAAAUUGAAGACAUCUCAGCCAAGAAAUAAGAUAAGAAUGAAGAAAAAUCAGCCUGUCAAAGUUGGCUACCGAAGUGCCACGUCACAAUCCGGCCAGAAUUUGGCAGGAUUACCGGCUGGAUUAAAGGCAGUGGCGAAUCAAUUUUUUUUUUCAAAACUCUAAGGCAAUCCGGCCAAGAAUCCGGCCGAGAACUGGCCGGAUUUCCGGCCGGAUUCUCACUGUUCACCAAAACGUUUUCUUUCUUUGUCUUUUGGGGCUUCACAAACUCCCCCCCUUAAACGAAUGUCGUUCUCGACAUUCCAACUUAUACUAAUCAUAUCAGAAUAGUCCUCAAAAGUCAAUCAAGUACUAAGAAUCACUCCAAUCCCACUUAUCACUUUGUAACAGGCCAACGGAUAGCUAAACAAGUACCCAAAGAGAACAUGCAAAAGGGCUCGAUUCAAACAACUAGCCCUGAGUUGGAAAUAAAGUCCUAGAUAUUCAAAAAAUUCAGGACAUAGCGAAGCCUCCGAUUGAAAAUUUUACCCCUGGCGGUGCUGGACAACACAACAAGUUAGCAUACAGCUAUAUUUCACCAGAGAGUCUCAGUUCAGGAAUUUAUCCCUGGUGCUGCUGGACAACACAACAAACUAGCACAACGGCUAUAUUUCACCAGAGAGUCUCAGGAAUUUGCCCCUGGUGGUGCUUCAUAACACAACAAGCUAGCACAACGGCUAUAUUUCACCAGAGAGCUUUAGUUCAACAAUUUCAUCCCUGGUGGUGCAGGACAACACAACAGGCAUGCCUCACCAGACGACUGGCGGUGCUUGAUAACACAUCAGGCUAUACCCCACUAGAGAGGUUCAGUUCAAGAAGUUCAUCCCUGGCGGUGCUUGAUAACACAACAGGCAUGCUUAGCCAGAAGAAUGGAGGUGCUUAAUACCACAACAGGCAAUGCCUCACCAGAGAGGUUCAGUUCAAAAAGUUCAUCCCUGGCGGUGCUUGAUAACACAACAGGCAUGCCUCGCCAGAAGAAUGGCGGUGCUUGAAAACACAACAGGCAAUGCCUCACCAGAGAGAUUCAGUUCAACCGCUACAGAGGAGUAGUAGCCGGUCUACAACCACACAUUAAAACAUACAAGUCCGAAAGUAGGAUCAAUUACUUCAAGUUCAUGGAGCACGGGUACGAAUAAGAACACACUCGCCUAGCCUAUGUCCAGCGAUUCACCUUCUCAAGUAGUCGCAGUAUUCAAGUCCACUAACAGGUCAUAUACGAAUCAAGCUACUUGCUCAUGCGUAAAAGAGAUACUAUAUAUUCAGUCAAGUCAGGUCAUUAAGUGUACGUAAGAGCAUACUCGCCUAAACAGGUUCAAGUCUCAAGUGCUCAGCUUGGUCGGUCUCAGGCAGUUCAAGUAUUUCAAAUCUCAACACUUACAAAUCGGGUGGUGCAAACUUUAAUCAAACAAUAAGACUAGAAGAAGGAUGCAAAACCAGAAGUUUUCUCAACAAAUUCGGCCACCACCAUAAUCUAUCAAAACCCUAGCCAAUCACUUAUUGGACAAGUCCAAGAUAGCAUUCAUCAUUUCAAUCUCGUCAUUCGGUUAAGUCUCGAGUACAAUACGAAAUCCUCUGUACUCUAACCUGUACCAUUACAACUUAUCUUAAACUCAUGUAUGAUUCCUAUUCACAUCAUCAUAUACUAGACCAUGUUCCUUCCAAAUUCACAAGCAUUUUCUCAGGAAAAGUAUCGAGUACUCAAGUACAAGAAUUCAAAACUAAGAAACUUUACGACUCAAGCCGUACACUAGUACCAGAAUCGGUUGAUGUACGUUUGGAAGCAACCAAGUCAUAUCUUACGCUUACCACUAUCAAACCAGUCCCACAGUCCGGCAUCCUAAACUUUAGCCUAGGAUAAACUACAGAGAUCUGAAGCCUAAGCUCUGAUACCAAUUGUGACAGCCCCACCUUCCCCUAAGGCGAACCAAAGGGUUCGGCGGACCGCCUGCCCAGCUCUCGCCAGGACUCACUCACUCACUACAGUCCUCAAUUAAAUUACAAUGCACAUCUCAAAUAGUACAUCAAAUUCUCCAUGAAUUACAUAUCACCAGCGAAGUGAAUACUAGUUUCCAAGCGUGGAACGUACACAUACAUUCGUUCAAUUCCAAACAUUCAUACAAUCCUAACUAUUACACAAGAGAAAUCUAAAACUCAAACUAUACAGGAGAUAUUCAUCCAGUCAUACUAAUAACUCAUUACACUCGCUUCUUUUGCCUUGAGCCCUGUGGAGGGGAAAAAAAUAUUUUGGGGUGAGAUAGAAGCUCAGCGAGUGUCCAAUAAAAUCAGUAAUCAAAUAAGCUUCACAAUAGUGCAUUUAAAUGAGAUUAUGAAUCAAUGAUCAAAUGUACGUUUAUUGCUCUUAUGAGCCAGUGAAAUCAUUGUACUUAGAACUCCAACGCUCAAAUAGAUCCAGUAAGUCAAACAGUACAAGGGAGCCAUUUGCUCCAAAUAAUCAGGGGUGGAGAUAUUGGUUCUAAGCACACGAAUUCCAAGUACUCAUUUGAGCCAAAAUAUGUCAUGGUCCACAUGCAAGCACUCAUGAUAUGCAAGCGAGUAAACAGUGCAAGAAACAGUUCAUAAGUAACUUUGAAAAUAGUUUGGGGAUCACUCACCAACCACAACUCAGGAACCAUCCAUCACAGACAUUGCCUUACUCAAGUCCAAACCCUAGAUCACAAUUAUCAUGUCAAACAAAAGGAAUUCUAAAAGCAUCAACUUCCUAUCAUCUUUUGGCAUUUUAAUCAUAGUUGAAGCUACACUUAUCCGAUUGAAACGAAUCUUAUGGCGUUACGAAACUAAGACAUAUACCAACAUUUCUUAUGAAGACCUCCAAAGCCAAAUCAUACAUAUUCAUGGUCAAAAAAUCGAAAUCUUAGAGAAAAAAAAUGGAAACUGUCCGUGAAACAGGGUUUAAGGGCAGUCAAGGGUAUUUCAGUCAAUUCACAAGAUACAGUACUCCAAUCGAUCUGAAAUUUUACAGGUAGAUGGCUAACUCAUAUCUCUACAACUUUCAUGAUUUGUCCAACAGCUGGUUCGAUCUAAAACAUAGAGAAAUGUGCAGUCCAAGUUGAGUCCAGAAACAAGGUAAAAACUGAAAUUACUCUUCUAAACUAACCUUUGCAUAUAACCACAAUUACACAUACGAAUCAUAAGAUAUAUCACACAUCUAAUUAGGCCACAAUACCUCUUCAAUAUGAGCCAAUUGAUAACUCCCAAAACCAAUCAUAAUUAAACCCUAAUUCGAAACCCUAACAUUGAUAUUGACCUACACAAGCUGGAAUUUCCGUAGGCAAGUGAAACUAGCAUAUAUAACCUCAAUAUUUCACAUAACAAAACUAUCAAAUGCUCUCAAAGAUUGGACAGCAUUUUCCCUUAAUUUCUAUUUUCCAUCCUAUAAACAACACCAAUACCAUCUCAAUUCAACCACAUAUUCACAUACAAAUCAUAAGCUAUAAAACACACCUAAUUAGGGCCACAACACCCUUAAAUCUUAACCAAUUAAGAGCUCAAUAACCAACCAUAAUAAAGCCCCAAAUUUGAAACCCUAAAACUGAAAUUUUUCGCACAAAUCUAAAAUUUUCCGCAAACAACCACAAUUAACACACAAAGGCUCUAUUUGACACCAUAUCAAGCUAUCAUUCUAUGGCCAACCAACCAUUAUCAUCUAAAAUCAGAAAAAUUCACUAAUAAAUCAGAAAUUUAUCAAACUCUACUUUAAAUCAUGAAAUCUUCCACAAAACCACAUAUUUAGCUACUAUAAGUCACUAAUUUACCAUAUUAGAACAAAAAGGAAAUUUUUCAAGUAAGGUACCUUAUAAACUCAAGAAAGAUAAUAGCUUAGCGCUUCUUCUCCAAAAAUCACUCCACCAUAGCUUUUAUUCCUCCUUAGUAUACACUUGUACGGAGUAGUUUGUGAUUUCAACGUUUACAACUCAAGAUUUGAGCAAAGAUUGAAGCUAGAAAAUGAAGAAUUCUCUCUUGUUUUUCCUCUCUAGAGAGCCAUGUCAAGAAGGAGCAAAAAUGAAGACAUCUCAGCCAAGAAACAAGAUAAGAAUGAAGAAAAAUCAGCCAGUCAAAGCUGGCUGCCGAAGUGCCACGUCACAAUCCGGCCGGAUUGCCGGCCAGAUUCCAGGCCGGAUUCAAGGUAGUGGCGAAUCAAUUUUUUUUUCAAAACUCCAAGGCAAUCCGGCCGAGAAUUGGCCAGAUUUUCGGCCGGAUUCUCACUGUUCACCAGAACGUUUUCUUUCUUCGUCUUUCGGGGCUUCACACGGUACCUCCAGAAUAUGCGUCCGAAGGUAUGAUGCAAAACUAGGAAUUCUCCUUCAAUUCGUUCGGACGUCCGGUGCCUCCAAUGUUUUGCGUCCGAAGUGUCGCAAUGUUUGUCAGACGUCCGGUACUCAGGUGUUGUACGUCUGAUCGGGGUUAAUGAGCUUAGAGGACUUGGCUUAUCAUCCUCGGACGUCCGAGAGUGGGUUCUUCAUGCGUCCGAAGUUGCUCAAUGGUUGUCAGACGGCCGAUGCAGUCUUUAUGUGCGUUCGACAGCUAUUUCAGCAUAUGUUAGCCUUUGAACCUGUUCUGCUCCAAUUCUGAAAAGAUCUAAUCAGAGAAUAUUAGUAACAUCCAUUUGUUUUGUAAUCAUCAAAAGUUACGGAUUGAGAUAAACACUCUCUUAAACCAUUUGUUAGAUCCUUAUUUGGUUCAAGGUAGUAGUACAUUAUGGCAACUUUACGAUGUCCCUUUUUCUCCACCAUUUUAUUUAGUUCAAUGGUUGACAUUCUAUCGGCAUCACAAACAUCUACAUAGUCCACCUCUCCAUUAGCAUACCAUACAUACUGUUCCCACAUAAUUCUAUCCCCAUGAUGCAUCCGAAUAGUAAACCAUUCAGAAUCAGGCUCUACAAUGGCAAUUGGGAUAAAAUAGUCAACAACAUAACGAAAAAACACAUAAAGGCUGACAAAUGAAAUACUGAAUUGGUCAAAUUUAGCAAAAAAAAAAAAAGACCCUGAAGAAAUAAAGUUGUCCCUUUUCAGCCAUUAAAAUACAUCACUUUCAAACAAACCCCCUUUGUCUGACAUUGUCAAUUUACAAAAAACAAAGUAGGACCACAAAUUGGACCACCUAGCCUCCCGACAUCACCAUUACCCAAAUAUAUAAACAAAUAAGUUUCAUUACACAUUCAUAUAAACAAAUCUUAAACCCAAAUGGAUUAGUAAACAAGAUUUUUCAAUUAUCGUAAACGAGGUACGGAUCAAAGUAGUCAUCUCUCCUCCAUAUUCGCCACUCCAUUUCUGCCUUUAUAACCCCUCCCACGUCGGCAAUUAGCACUUUUGCUGCAACAUCCGGAUUGAGUAGUCUGAUUUUUUCGCACUAGGGUUUUGGAGCAAAAGGGGUGGAAAUUAUUGGAGGGAAAAUCAGUGUUGAAAGUGUUUUAACUCUUUCUUUCUUUGCUUAGAGACUAUAAUGCCCUUGAUAUUUGGUCGUGCGUCUCGCGAAAUGAUGUUUCCCGUCAAUUUUAACUGUUGGGUUAGACUAAAGGGCUACAAAGAUGCUGUUUUAUUAGAUCGAGAGCCAAAACUUUAUCGUUAAUUGUUUGAGAGCUAAAACUUUACCUGGGAAAGAGUUGAAGAGCCAUUGGGAUUUUUUUCCCUUAAUAAAACAUCUUAUCAUUAUUUCAAAUAAAUUUCCUAAUACUAGUUUGAGAUAAGUUUUUAAUGCAAAAUAGUACAUUUGUGCCAUAAAUUAGUAAGUUUUGACCAUUAAUCAAAAUUUUCCAUAUUAUUAGUAAGAAUUACUAUUUGUGUAUAAAAACAUACUAUAACUUGAAAUAAACUUACUCUCUAAAAAGUAAGUUUGAUAUAUAAAGUAGUAAUUUAUUUAUUUAAAAAUUAAGUUUUAUAUCUAUUCCAAUUUACCUUUUGCGGUAUAAAAAUUGCUAAUUUAUUACAUUAACUUACUAUUUUAGAUGAGAAACUUACUUCCUUAUUUUUACGUAUUAUCCUAUUUAGUUGGAUAAAUCCAACAAGUAAUUAAACAGUUACUAAAAGUGCAACAACCUGUUAAAUCAGCUUUGUUAUGAUAACUAUCGUUACUAAGUAUUGUCCCUUUAUUAAUACUACUAGUAGUUCAUUUUUUUUUGGGUGGGUCCUAUACUAGUAGUCCAUAUUUGUGUUAGGUUUUGAGUGGUUAUAUUUGACAUGUACACACAGCUACCACUUAAUAAAUACCGUUUUGUAGUAUAUUGAACAUUGAUUUCUUGAUUUGAGAUUCAGAUUAAAAUAUAAAAGAUGUGACAAGAUCACAAUCAGUUCAAUGUAGAACUGCUUAAUAACUCCACUGAAGACUCGAUGACUUCUAUAGUUCUAUUAAAUGUUGAAGAAGAGAAACUGGAAAUGAUUAGAUGCAACAUGCACGCUUAUUGUCAUAUUCAUUUUCAGAGUUUCAUGCAAGAGCGUCUGCAGCUUUAGUAAGAUAACGUUAGCAGUUCAGAAGCUGGCAACAAGUGAUCACAAAGUACCAGGAAAAAGGGCAUCCUAGUAAAACAAAAAUUAUGAUGGGCAUUCGAAGAAAAUGUUCCUCUCUCCAUUUUGAUUACAGAUAAAAGAAAAAGGGUUCGGAGAAGAAAGGAAAAUAUACAAAAAAUAUACAAAAAAUGUAAAUUGGGAUGCCAAGGUCCCAUUUAGCCAGGUUUUACCUUCCACAAAAUCUCCCCUGCAUCCUAUUAUCAAUCAUCAAGAGCUAUAAGAGAACAAGUGACGAGUCUUCUGGCGUAUAGGAUCCUGAAACCUCUUGAUCAGUACCAAGGGUGUGCUAAGGACUUUCAAGGGGCAAAAUGCUACCAUCCAGUAUAAUUUUUGCUUUCAAGUCUAUCCGUACUUCGAACAGCUAAUAACAAUCGACAGUUCACACAAACACUGUUGUGCAUCUAAAAUUCCAAGCACAAAAGUCGAUGCUCUUGCAAGGUCACCUAGCUUAUAGCUAGCGUCAACCAUACUUCGACCUACCUUUUAAAAUGUUAACCUCUCCAGAAGGCUAAUAUGAAUUGUUCAAAUAUCAGUGGUCUCCCACUAGAUUGGUACAUUCUAUAUUUGUGCAGUUUGCAAGCAUUUAGGCUCUUACCAUGGCUCCGGGAACUUCAGAGUUUUUGUUUCGUGAGAUCUUCUGAAUUAUCUUCUAGACCCUUUAAGGUUUUAAGUAUUCCAGUUUCUAAUUUCCUGCCUGACAAACAGCAAAAGUAUGCAAAUGAAAAAUAGUUGGACUGCUGGUAAACUACAGUUUUAACCUUUUAUGAUAUAGCAUCCAUUUAAAAGGUUUGGCAAGUUCUUCUACAUCCUAGACAGCUUAAUCCUCCGCUCUCCAUCAUGGUAAGUUCAAUAUUCAGUGCUCACAAUACUUACUGUAGAAAGUCACACUAAACAGGUAAAACAGAUUUCUGUGGAACCUUAUAGAAGUAAACAACGAUUAUAGUAGUAAUAAUCUAUCAAGUAACGAAGACCAAACUAAAUCAUGUUCCAAUGACACAAGCAACGAAAAUGUCAAUAACAUAACACUAGAACUUUCAGGGUCCAACAAAAUUAUCUUAUGAUACAUCUCUAUAGAAUGGUUAUAUAAGACUAAGUCGAUAAAUGUUGAAACGGCAUCAAACAUAUAAUCCGACUAACUUCAGGAUGCUGAACAAACAUAAUGCAAAGAGUUUUAGUGAGCUUCAUGAGAUUCUAAAAUCUCAAAAUUUGUAUAAGGAAAACAUAUUUCAAAGAUUCCAAGAAUUACAAACCUCUAGCUAGAUAU